rnacentral:lncRNA from 1 species
AAAAAUAUCUAAGAGCCUCCAAUGGAUAAUACCCAAAUAACCUGGUAUGCCAUGCAAGCUUGAAACAGCUGUGGGAAGACUGGCCCAUGGUGGUGGCACUAAGGUGGUGGCAGCUUGGCAUAGGAGCUAGUGACAAGGAGUGGUGGACUAUAGAGGUAGGGCAAGAGACAAAGAGACAACUAUAAACCUCUUCUUAGUGAUUUCUGUACAAUCUAUGAAAUAAGCAAUAAAACUAAGCUGCUACAUAGACAGUCGCGAACAAGAUAAAUGAAAUGUUCUUCCCAAGGAUCAAGGUUCACUUACAUACAUUCUCACUACACAAAUGGAUAUGCUCUAAGUGCUGUGCAGUAGCUACGUGCUAGCUCUGCCUUUUCCCACUCUUCUACUAUCAGUGGCAAGGAUAAUCAACUCUCUUCCUCAUGCAAACUAUGAUGGUCUGAUGACGGCAAUGAUUAAGCUUUUCACCGUGGCUACCAUUAAGACCACUUAAGUUCAUAUGACAAUGCAAACAUGUGAAAUAAGAACACACUGAUAUAGAACUUAAUAGAAUUAAUGAUCAUAAUCAUAAGUGUAUGUAGCAGUAAAAUAUAGAGACCCCCCUUUCAUCCCAGGGUAGUUUUGCAAAAUUGUAAACCCUCUUUCCAUAGACAACCAAGAUAUGUGCUAUGUGAAUCUAUGUCGAUCAGGACUUCAUGUGGACGAAUUGUUUCGGGAACACAAGAUAUAUGACAAGGGCUGCGAAUGGGCUUGUAGCCUAGUGGUUGCAGAGACCUUAGUAGCACCCCAGGUCCUGGGUUCGAAUCCCCAUUCCUUGGUCGACAUGGGUGAACUGACAUGUGGUGGGCGGGUCCUCGUGUAAGGGGUUGGUCGUGUGAGUUGGGCCUCAAAGCACAGGUCAAGGCUCGAACCACAGGGGGCGGCAUCUCAUGUAUGAGGAGGCUAGCUUUCGUGACUUUUCUCGGUCGGGCUCCGAUUGAGCUCUUCUUAAUGUAAUACCGUGGGGCGGUCUUUCUCCCAACAGCCGAGUUUAUAUAUAUAUAUAUAUAUAUAUAUAUAUAUAUAUAUAUAUAUAUAUAUGUCAAGGGCUUUCAUCUUUGGGUUUGGGUAAUUGAAUCGGGCUUUGGGUUUGCCAACCAACAGGGACUUGGGACAAUUGGCCUGACCCCUGUAUGGGUCUUCUUGUGCUCAUCUUCCUCAUGCAGGCUCCUAGAAAUGUUCCAAGUGCAGGCCCAAAUCAAGAUUUGUACAAAAACUGCCAAUAUAUGUUGUAUUUUAGGCGCCAAGUGGCCUGAUAAUAUAUGGAUUAGUCCAAAAAUACCGCUAAAUGAGUACUAAAAGUUUCCAUUAUCAAAAGUUCCCCUUAUUAAUGAGGGGCAACAACACUUCCCCCAUCAGUUUUCUAAUUUUUGUUCUCCCUUUUUUCUUUCAAAGGCAAACUCUAUUGCGGCCAAUGUGCAUGAUCUCUUCAGGACCAAUAUAGUUCACAUUGCUCCUCAAGCUUCUCCAUCUUAUAUUUCAGUAUCUCUGCAUGACCUUUGUUAUUAUGUGCAUUCAACUUCCAUUUUCCACAUUCCUAUAGGGGUUGCUUUGUGCAUUUUAUUCUCUUCAUGAGGUCUCCCAAAAAAAAAUCUACUGCAGUUUCAAAUGUCAGUUGCCACCUCUUGUAUGGCAUCACUCAUGUUCCCUAACCUAGCCUCCAUCAUCAACUUCCAUGCAUUAUCCACAAUUUUUUCACAGUUCCGUGUACCCAGCCAACCUCAAAGCAGAAGGACAGCCUCCCUUGAAAUUAUCUCGAUCAUCUCUUCUUCCACAUCUAUAAAAUGGAUAAUUGAUUAACUUGUCUAUGAUCUGAGUGCCUCGAGACACCAUUGACCACUCGGAAAUCGGGACCUCCAUGUAGAAUGAACAAUGCAGCUCGAUAUCGAGCUGCUCGCAUGCGUAGUGAUCACUCAAGUGGCUAUUAGGAUUCGUGAAACAUAUGAGAGACAAAGGAUAUGAUUGGAUAACUGGAGUUAAAAUAUAUCCAGUUAGAACUGAAAGAUGAACUGAGCUAGAUAUUGAAGAUUAGCUCAAAGAGGAACAUCUCGAUCUCAGACUGAGAUUAAACCCAACCUGAGAGAGGAAUAAAGUUAGAGAAUAGAGAUAGCAUUGGAAAAUGUAUGAGGACUUGUCGUUUAACUCUGAACGGAGUUUAAGUUGAGCAAAUAGAUUUAAGAAUAAUGGUUUAAAUUAUGAAGUGAGUUCAAACUUAAACUGGCACAAAUCAAGGAAGCUGAAACAAGAACACGAGUGUUGAAAACAUUUUAAAACACAAAAUAGUUUGCCCAUUUUGAAGUUAGUAUAAGAAAGAAAAAGUUGACAAAGUUUUAAAAUGGUUACAAGCAAUUUAAUAAAAAAAUCUCAAAAUUUUGAGAUUUUUAAAUUCUGAAAAUACGAUGUUUUAUGAAAAACAUCCUCGCAGAAAAGAUAAAAGUGAUUUCUUUUACUGUCUCAUCUCUAACAUAUAUGUUCUCCUCUUUUCUUGACAGCUACCUGCUCUUAAUUGAUGACAUAUGGUCUGCAAAAACAUGGGGGGACAUCAGAAAUUGUUUGCCUGUAGAGAACAAAAAAUGCAGUAGAAUAAUAGUGACUUCAAGAUUUCAAGCUGUUGGUGCAGCGUGCUCACCAGUUGGCACAACUAAUCUUCUGCAUACAGUUGAUUUUCUCAAUGCUGUUGAGUCCAAGAAUUUGUUCAAGCAAAGUGUCUAUGAAUCAAAAAGCAGCAAAGAAAGCGAAAAGGUACAGGACAAAGUCCCAGAGGAGAUAUUGAAAAUAUGUGGAGGGCUGCCAUUGGCCAUAGUCAGCAUGGCUGGUCUUGUAGCCUGCAACCCAAGCAAGGCCAGUAAUCACUGGGAUAAGGUUUGCAAAUCAUUGUUUCCGGAGAGUGUGACUGCUCUCUCCUUGGAUGGGGUUACAAGGAUACUCGAUUUCUGUUACAAUGAUUUGCCAGGAGAUCUCAAGACCUGUGCACUGUACUUGAGCAUGUUUCCAAAAGGUUCCAAAAUUAGUAUGAAGCGUUUGACUCGGCGAUUGACAGCUGAAGGUUUUGUUAGUGAGAAGCAAGGGCUCACGGAGGAGGAAGUUGCAGAGACAUACUUUAAUCAGCUCAUGAGAAGGAAAUUAAUACGUCCUGUGGAGCACAACAGCAAUGGAAAAGUAAAAACAUUUCUAGUUCAUGACAUGGUUCUUGAAUACAUUGUUUCCAAAUCAAGUGAAGAGAACUUUAUUACUGUGGUUGGCGGCCACUGGAUGAUGCCACCACCCAGCAACAAAGUACGUCGACUCUCUAUGCAAAGCAGUGGUUCCAAGCAUGAAAAUAUGACAAAAAACAUAAACUUGUCUCAAGUGCGGUCAGUGACUGUUUUUGGAAGCCUGAAGCAAUUGCCUUUCCAUUCAUUCAAUAAUGGAAUAAUACAAGUGCUAGAUCUUGAGGGUUGGAAGGGUUUGAAAGAGAAACAUCUGAAGAAACAUAUAUGCAAAAUGCUUGUGUUGAAGUAUCUAAGCCUUCGAAGAACAGAGAUUGCAAAAAUCCCCAAGAAGAUUGGGAAAUUGGAGUAUCUUGAAACUCUUGACAUAAGGGAGACACAUGUUGAGGAGCUACCAAAAUCUGUAGAGAAGCUAAAACGGAUCAGUAGCAUACUUGGUGGCAAUAAAAACCCACGGAAGGGCUUGAGGUUGCCUCAAGAAAAAAUUAAGGAACCAAAGGAAAGUACAUCGGCUCAGGAAAAAAGCGAGGACGACACAGUUACAAGUAUGUCCACGCAAGAGAAAAAUAAGGAGGGAAUGAAAGCACUCCGUGUACUAUCAGGGAUUGAGAUUGUUGGGGAAUCAACAGCUGUUGAUGGCCUUCAUCAGAUGAUAGGGCUAAAAAAGCUUGCUAUUUACAAGCUCCAUAUAAAGAAAGAUGAUAAAAUCUUCACACAACUACUUUCCGCUAUUACGUACCUUUUCAGCUGUGGUCUGCAAACUCUGGCAAUCAACGAUGAAGGUUCUGAUUUUAUCAACUCACUGGACUCCAUGUCCUCACCUCCAAGGUACCUCAUCGCCCUUGAACUGUCUGGGAUGUUGGAAAAGCCCCCAAUGUGGAUAUCCAAACUCCACACCCUCAGCAAGUUAACGCUAUCUCUGACAGUUCUCCGGACUGAUACAUUCAAGCUCCUCCAGGACCUGCCAUCACUGUUUUCUCUCACAUUUUCACUUAGUGCAGCAAAGCAGAAUCAGGACAUAAUAAAGGACAUCCUCGAGAAGAAUAAAUCAGAUUCUGAUGGGGAGAUCUUUGUUCCAGCAGGAUUCCCGAGUCUUAAGCUGCUACGCUUCUUUGCACCCCUUGUGCCAAAGCUGGGAUUUGGUGACAAUGCAAUGCCAGCAUUAGAGAUGAUUCAGGCGCGGUUUGAAGCCUUUGAAGGUUUAUUUGGCAUCGACACAUUAGAAAACCUCCGGGAGGUGCACCUCAGAGUUAAUGGCCUAGCUGCGGAAUUAAAAGAAAGUGAUGAAGCAGGAACACAAGAAACAGAAACCCCUAAAAUAAAAGAAAAAGAAAGGAAGGAAGCUGCUGAAAUCACCAGGUUCUUGGUCGAAGAUUUGAAGAACUACACUACUGAUAAGCUGAAGGUAAUUGUUGACUAUAUCAUCAAUGCUUGAAAUUGCAAAAUAAUUUGGUUGUUGUUUGCUAAAUAAAUAGGGAUGGCAGGUAUAUCCAUCCCAUGGUACUGUGUAUUUUUAUUUCAUUGUCAAUUGAUUAGUGUUUCGUUCUGUCAUGUAUGGCUGGAGCUCCUAGAUACACCGUUUCAGUGUUUGUUGGGGUUGUAAUAAAAGGGGAUAUCCCAAAGGAACUAUUGUAAUCUUUAUGUUGUCUUGUACACUAUUUGCUAUUGCUACUAUUGAACUAAGGUAUUAGUUUACUCUGAUGAACUGAUGUACUUCCUGAAAGAUUGCUUGCACUACUUGAAAAAAAAGGACGUCUAGUACCGGUCAGUAACCCCCCUAGCCUCUAGUACCGGAUGUGCAACCGGUACUGACAAAUUGGUACUAGAGGGGGCCUUUAGUACCGGUUCAAAUAAUUGGUACUAAAUGGUAACCUUUAGUACCGGUUCAAAUAAUCGGUACUAAAUGGUAACCUUUAGUACCGGUUGGUCAUCCCCAACCUGUGCGCACACGGACGGUGCCUCCACUCCUGUCGAAACAGUAGCUGGUAGACUGCGACGGUUACACGGCUAUACCUGUCACUGGAUUUGCAUUAUCCAUAGACGAUUUGAACUAUUUUAUCCUUAGACUCUAUUGGACUACUGCAUCAUGCAGGCUGUGGCGCAGCAGCCCGUCGCGGUCACCAUCGAUGCCAGCGACCCCUGUUUCCAGCAUUACUACUGCGCCGUGUACGACGGAAGGUGCUUCUGGAACGACGUCUACAUCGGCGGGGUGUGCCGGACGGCGCCGAUCCACACGAUAGCCAUCGUCGGCUACUGGACCGAGCCGGGCGGAACCAAGUACUCGUGGAGUGGGAGUUGGGGUCACAAAGGUUUCGUUUACCUCCUCAGGGACUCUGCACGAGUAGGAGUGUGAGGCGUUGCUCAGCAAGCGUGCUACCCUAUCAUCUGAUCAUCCCAGUCGCCAAAUCGCCACGCACCUCGUAUGUUUGCCUCCAUGUGCUUGCAUUCAUGCAUGUUUGCACCAUACCUUGCCGUUUACUCAUGUAUACUCCAUUAUAUUGUUGCAGUAUGCAUGCUACAUGUACAUGUGUAUGCGCGCACUGUAUGUUUGUACUUUAUACAUGUAUCAUUGUAAGGGUUAGGAUGGUACACAUGCAUCCUUUGCCUAUGAAUAUUAGGAUGGUACACAUGCAUCCUUUGUCUAUGAAUAAAUACUCUUUGUGCAAUGGAGGUCCAACUAGCUUAUAACAUGUCUGGAAAAUAGGAUCUAUAUAUAUAUAUUCAGGUCAUAGGUGUCUGGAAAAUCGAAUUUCCACUUAGCCAUAGACCAAACACCAUUAUCAAAGAUAAUACUGUUGCGAUGAUACCAAGUGCACUAGCUAGCAAUGAUGAUAACUUCCCUGAAAAUUGUUCUUCCAAAAUUAACUCAAGCCUGAAUAACGAUCAUAUCUAAAGAGGCCAGCGAAAGAUUCCACACAAUUCCCAAAAAUGCCCAGCACAUUUGACUGAAACUUCAAAGAAUAAGUGCAUCAGAUUUUAUUCACUACCUGCAGAACAUAGAACACAUGUGUAAUCAUCGAGAUGCAUGUUCUAAUAUAUUCUGAGGUGGUUUCUUGUAUUCAGGCGAUCUCUUCGCAAGAGCCAAAAGCAAAACUAUUUGUUAGUCUGUCCAUUCAGUUCUCAUUAGUUUUAAUAGUAAUAAAGUACUUCACCAGUCCCAUAACUUGCAAAACGUACAAUCAACUCCCUAAACUUUGCUACAGUAUGACACGAGUCAUGGGAUUGUGUACUUGUGGUGCUCUGCUUCAGCCUCCAGUGCAGAGGAAGGGAGCUGCUGGCUUGCCUAUUAGUUUUGCUUGCUUCGAUGUGGCGUUAAAGGCACUGGAGGUGAGUAGGUAGAGCUUCGAAGCUUGCCGGAAAUGGUACAAUUAGCAAGUUUCGGGAUCUGAUUGUUCAUUUUGCUAGUUUCGGAUCAAGAUGACAUAACGUUACAAUUUUGAGGACCUAUAGUAUGUUUUACUCUUUUAAUAAGUAAUAUUUCAUUGAUGAAGAUAUGAAAUACAAUACAUAUUUACUAAUAAGUAAACCAGAUAUCCUCACAGUUUAUACAUAUGUAAACUUAGGAUUUAAAUUUUAUUACAAAAUGAAGAAAUAAUUAGUUGACAUUUUAAUGGAGUAUGGUUAACUUAUCAUUUCAGACUUUGGGAGAUCAUAUGGAGCGGUACACUAUGCACGACUUGGUGCAUGAUCCGGCAACAUUAAUCAUGGGUGAUGAGUUAAUUGUUUCUAAUGUUGCAUCGAAGAAUAAUAAAGCACAUAGCCACAAAUAUUGUCGCUAUGCAUCGGUUACCAAAUAUGACCACACAACAAGGUUAUCCAAUGUUUUACCCUCAAAGGUGAGGUCACUUCAUUUUUCAGAUAGUGGCAACCUGAAUCUCUCUUAUGGGGCAUUUUCGUUUGCAAAGUGCUUGCGUAUUUUGGAUUUUAGUGGAUGCUCUGGUAUACUGCUGCCAGCCUCUAUUGGGCAACUGAAGCAGCUGAAGUACCUUACUGCUCCACGAAUGCAAAAUAAAGUUCUCCCUGUGUUUAUGACUGAGCUAUCAAGACUGCAGUACCUGAACCUGGAUGGAUCUGCUCAAAUUUCUGGACUAUCAGAAUCAAUAGGCAAGCUAGGGUCACUGAGAUAUCUGGGUUUGUCAGGUUGUUCUCGAAUAAGAGAACUUCCAGCCUCACUUGGCAAUCUCACAAAUUUAUAGCAUCUUGAGUUAUCUCAAUGCUCUAAUGUCAAAGCGAUACCUGAAUCUUUGUGUGGCCUUACACACCUCCAAUGUUUGAACUUAUCAUCUUGUCGUUAUAUCACACGGCUAGGCAGCCUGGUCAAUCUACAGUAUUUAAACAUGUCAUAUUGUGGUGUCAAGGAACUUCCAGAGUCAUUCAAGAGGCUCCCUAAUUUAUUGCAUCUAGAUCUGAGAUACUGUGAAAUUGAGAAAGGCUUAGCCGCAUCUCUGCAUGGCCUCACUGCAUUACAAUAUCUGGAUAUGUCAAACGUGAGCUUCAUAGAGAAUUUGGAGAAGGAAGAUCUAUUACCUGUAACUAGGAGAAACCUCACCAAUCUCAAGGUGUUGAAAUUAAAAUCUUUCCUGGGACCAUUUGGUACCUAUAUGAAUCUUAGUUUCAUCGGUACCCUUACCAAUCUGGAGCAUCUAGACCUAUGGUGCAACAAAUUUAAACAUUUACCACAAAGUAUUGGUAAUCUCAAAAGGCUGCAUACACCGAAUCUACAGUAUUGCUUUGGGCUGAACUCCCUCCCACAGAGUCUAAGUUGUGCAACUGGGUUGAAGUCUGUACUGCUGGAUGGGUGCGGACACAAAUUGAUGGAUUAGGCUAGUUCUCUAUUGCACUAUUCACUAACAUUACCACUCUUUAAGGUUCCUGCUGAUGACGUCAAUGCUCGUAGCAAUCUGCAUGCACUCGAGGGUGAAAAUGUCAUCGGUGAGUUACGUAUAGUUUCCCUUGAAAACAUAAGACUUCUGGAGGAAGCAUAGAGACUUAAGCUGUUGACCAAUCAUAAUCUUUUGACUUUGAAACUGGUUUGGACCUUGGAAGUUGAUCGACAUCUGGAGGACAAGGAUUUGUUGGGACAACUAGUACCACCAAUGAUCCUAAAGGACUUGAGUUUAGAUGGUUAUAGCAGUCCGAGCUUUCCUGGCUGGCUCAUGGCCAUUUCUCAUUAUCUCCCUAAUCUUACUUUUAUUGAAUUGAAGGAUCUACCUACAUGUAGCAACCUACCACCACUUGGGCAGUUGCCAUACCUAGAGAUCCUAUGUUUCUGAAAUUUACCUAAGGUUUCAAAAAUUGACGGGGUAUCUGUGGUGGCAAAGGAGCAUUUCCAUGUCCUGGCGAGGAUGGUGUGGAGGAGUUCAUGUUCCCUAUGCUAGAUAGACUCGAGGUAUCUUAUUGUCCAAAGUUGAGGUUGAAACCAUGCCCACCCAAAUGUCAUCAGUUCGUAAUAAAUAAAAGCGACCAGGUUAUAUCUUCACCCAAAUGUCAUCAGUUCGUAAUAAAUAAAAGCGACCAGGUUAUAUCUUCACUGGAGGAGGUACAAACCACCAGCCAUCGUUGCAACUCUACACCAACCACCACCAGACUGGAUAUCAGCGCAAGUCAGCACGACAGUUUCAGGCUGUUUCACCACUUCCCUGCCCUCCAGGAGUUGGAAUUCUCCUUUUGUCGAAAUCUGACGAGCUUGCCGGAGGGCAUACAACAACUCUCCUCCCUUCAAUUACUCGAGUUGAAAUAUUGUCGCAGCAUAGCAGCACUGCCAGAAUGGCUGAGCGACAUCUCCUCUCUUAAAAAGCUCGUCAUCAGGGAAUGUGAUAGCAUCAAGUCUUUGGCUGCACGUAUACAGCUGCUCAACAACCUCGAGCAGUUAGUUAUUGCUGGGAACCAGGAACUGCAGCAGUGGUGCGAGUCAGAAGAGAACAAGGCUAAGCUUGCACACAUCAACAUAGUAAGUUCACGAUGACCACAUUUAUUUUUCUAAAUCCGACAUUCAAGUUUUCUAAUAAAACUCAUGUACUUCCUGUUUCUGAUUUCCAUGAGAGUAUAAGCUAGACCUAAUCAGUCGCACUUUUUUCAACUUUGCAGAUCAGUUUAUGAGUAGCUUGACCGAGUGCCAUAAAAAAAAUGCCACCAGGGCAAAAUGCGGGUCAUAACCAGCUGGACUUCAGAAGUGCGAUGCCUAUAGAAGUGCAUUUCUUAUGUCUGUAGAAGCUGCUUCUGUUUUAACAUACUUGCCUUCACCUAUUCUCCUUCUGAAAUUGCUUUUGACCCACCCCCAGCCUGUCAUGUGGCUGUGAGACAUUUCUGGGAAACAAGCUGAAAUCAUGUUGAAUCAAAUGAUCUUCAUUAGCAGCUGCAUUGUUAGAUCUCAGAUACUGCGGAGCUUAAAGAAGCUGCAGUGUAGUUCACUACAUUUCCUCCAGAUUAAGGCUUUCAGCACAGACAACAUUAGAACUCCAACUGCUUCUGUCAGUGACUUGUGACUGUACAAAUGAACUCUGUUCGGUUCUUCAAGUUCUGCAAUAGAUUUUCUCUUCUGCUGAACUUUCCGUCCGUGCUCUUCUCUGUAAUUUUUUUGUAUGCUGGGCAGACAACUCUCUCUCUCGCCUUGAAUGCUUAAUGCACCAAAUAAACCUAGAUACUGAAGAUCACAUUUUACAUGAAAAACAGGGCAAGCAUUCCUGCAAGUAAGAAAAACUUAUUAAUAUUUUAUAUUUACAAAUAAUAGCAUCUCCAAGUAAAUAAUGCCCAUGAUAACAGGCAUGUUCAUUGUUUCGGGAGAUAAGGUAAUAUUUAACUUCCAUUAAUCGAAUCCACAUUUAUCAUUAAUGCACACUUGCCUACCCCAAAUAUCCAAUUAGACUUUUUAAGUAUUCACUCCUCCGUAUGCGUGAGAAUCAAUCGAUUAAUACGCCUCCACUAGCCUGUCCUGAUAUAUCAGUAGUUACUACAUUUGGUUGAUACUCGAUAGCAAAAGGGGGAAAAAGGAUGCAAUAGCCAAGAACAGGGGAUGUAAUUCUUGCAGGCAAAGCAUCGAGCACUUGGCCUGCAGAUGCCGGAGACACCAACCUUUGCUGCAAUGCAGCCGCGUGCUUGCUUGGCUUCUUGCGCAGCCCGGCGCGGUGAAGAACCAUGUCUUCUGGUCCGCUCCGUGCACGUUGCACCGUGGCCGAGCGCGUCUUCGUCCUCGUCUUCGCCUGCGACCAAACUGCGGCAACCAAGCGGACGAGCGGUGGUUGGUGGGAGCUAUGCGGUGCCCUCCACUCUGUAACCGUUCCCGGCGCCGCCUCGCAAAGCCCCGUGCUAUAUAUAUGUGCGGCUAGCACGCUGGCCCACAUCGUCACUGUGCACGGCGGCGGCGGGAGGAGCGGUGGUUCGUGGGAGCUGCGGUGCCCUCCACUACUAUGAUCUCGCUCAGAAUCUUGCUAGGUAGCAACGCAAAUAGGUAGGAUGGCAAGGAAUUUAUGGUUUGGGAGGAAGAACACCCGUACAGAUCACCUGCAGGCCCACUAGAGAAUAGAGAUACGUACUACUGAAUACACAACACAACUCUGAAAUCGAUUUGAUAUAUAGUAGUCAGACAUUUCAAAAAAAACAUAUACAGUCAGACAGCUUCAGUAGUACGAGAGCCACACCCUCCUCACCGUUUGUUACUCAUCCAGAUGCUAGCUUGUACCUCUUGAGCGCCUUCUUGGUCAUGACAUUGACCUGAAAGAAGCGACCCUUUCUGAGCAAGUCUCAAAUCCCCAGUCGCCUCUCCUCGUCCUGAUCUCUCGUCCCACAGUCGUUGGGACAGCUAGCUAGUAGCUAGAGAGACGAUGGCAUGGGUUACACGUUGUAAGACUACGCAAGCCUCCAGCGCAGGUUGUUCACUACCAUUACUGUAGCACAGUUUGUUCGAUGGAUGUUCACAUCGAUGUGCCCAUGUAUAGUUGCACACAGGUUGUUCAGCUGCUGAAGAAGGUAUGGAGUUAUUGAUGAGGCCAAUGGCUUUGAUCGUUGUUGUGGCCCGAUGAAUAAUGCCUUAUUAUAAAUUUCAUUUGCAAGGUGCGUGGAAGCAAGGAAAUUUUUACCCGGGCACAUGAAUUGCAGUCUAGUCGAAUUGAGUGUCAUUAGUAUGCCAUUUCUGCUGAAAAGAAAUGAGCAGGAAAAAGGGAAUUGUAUGGUAUAAACAAUGGCGCAGAGAUGAAUUAAACACUAGAUCAGUUCUUACUAGCUUCAUUUCCAUUGAGAAAAUAUAAACAAGUUCUGACUAGCUCACCACCCUGAUAGGAGAAGGAAAAAAAUUGUAAAGAAGUUUGAUCUUGGGCUCUUGUUUUCCAGCCUUUGACCAGGCGCGCGUCAAGUGGGCUGGAAGUUUUCGUUCUUUUUGGGCCUUGUAUGUUUAUGCCCAACAACGGAUAGCAUCACCGUCUCAAGUCAAACUUCCAAAUCAUUUGAGAGAGUGUCGAUUCAAAAAUUAACAUGUUAAAACAUGUCAGUUGAACAUUCAAAAGUUGUGAUCAUCUUUCACUAAAAAGACUUGGACCAGGUAUGUCCUCGGUAAUCAGCACCUGACAGAUUGGCUUAAUUAAUUAUUUGUUGGCAUCACGUACAUUGCUUGAAGUCAAGUAUACGCUACGAUUAAUUUAAGGAGGCGUUUGGUUGGGGCUCAGGUAACGCAAAGGGAAACGUAAUCAGAUCACAGCUGGUUUUGUGGUGUAAUCACUGAUUACGUUCUUUGUUUGGUUUGAUGCGAUAAUGGUAAUGGAUUACGUUACAGCUGUUUGGUUCACUACUCAGGUAUGACAAGGUAGUUUGCAAAUUUACUCCUCUAACUGGUAGCUAGCUCAAUGCUCAACCCACAGAGAGCAAGCUCAUUCGAUUUUCCGCAACUACUGAACAUCAACAUGGAACAGAUUGAACUACAACCAUCCAGGAGCAGUUCGAACCAUGUUCAAACACCACAUAGUUCAAAGUUCAUCCAAGCAAAAUAAAAGUUCAACAUCCAGAUUACAUAACAGGUUCAACAUCCAGGCUAAAUAGAAGUUCAACAUCCAAGCUAAAUAAUUGACUGACUCCCUAUGGACUUGUUGUUCACCUCCAUCUCACACAUUGUGCAGUAGAUGACUCCCUAUGGACUUGUUGUUCACCUCCAUCUCACACAGGAUAGUUUAAUCAUAUACACUCGGAAAGAUGCAAGCUCCUUAUCUUGAUCCACCUUCUAUCCUAUUCCUUCUCUCUUCCUCUUCAAAAGAAAAAACAGAACAAGUAAUGAGCUGUCAGUGAAUAGAAAGAAAAAUAGACAAUGAUUUGACAAAGAUUUGCUGCACAAUAGAUAAGGAAUCCACAUAUCCAAUUAAAGAACAUAAUUGAUUUGCUGCACAAAUUCUAGGAAAACAAGCAUAUGAUGUAUGGAAGCAUCUGAUGUAUGGCAGUAAAUAAACACAAAUUCUGAAAAUUAGUUACCCAAAUUCUUUCUUGGUUCAGGAUGAGCGCCUACACAGUUUUUCUGAGAUUCUUUAUAAGCUUUUACAAAUGGCUUCAUUAAUAUAGGAUGGCCACUUGGUACUUUCUGGCCACAUUCAAAAAAAUGUUUUUGUUUAUAUAAAUGCUUUAUUCGAAAUAAGCAUAAACGCACAACUUCUUUUGUAAUAUUCAGGGAUGCUAUUACGAGGAGCAUAAGUUUUAGGCUUCGAGGACACGCAGUGCCCCCUCCAACUGCAUACUGAUACUGCUAAAACAAAAGGGGACUGAGGUGACUGGGAUAUCAUUAGUAUCAGAUAUACUAGCAGCUAGCAGCUAUGUUCAUGAGCUUCUAUGUGGUGAAACAAGCUAGAGAUGACCAAGGUAUAGGAGCUUUUUUUCACAGAACAGUAGGACCAUUUUCACGAGAUUCAACUGACUGAUCUUAACUGAAUGGCAAACAUAAGCAAUACCAGUAUGCAACCAACAAAAGAUCCUGCACUCCCAUCUUACAUUCUCUAAAAGAGUAACAAUUCUAAGUACACCAAUCUAGCGGUACUAAAAAGUUCGAUGAACGAAUUUAAUUUGCCAAUGCCAUCCUCCUGCUCUACAAAACCCAAAAACUCAAGCAGAUUGAACCUGCAAAGGAGAGUUUAAAAAUAGCCAACACUAGCAGAAUACUACAUGAACUAGCAUCUGAUGUAUGGCAGUAAAUAAACAGUUGAAACAACAUAGCAUAGUGUCACAUACCAAGCAUGUUUAGGAAAAAUUCUCUCCUCAGUGUCUCAUCCAACGUUAACAGCAUGCUCAUUUGAUCUGGAAUUCUCACAAACACACUAGCAGCUUUGACUUGUUCGCUCCCUGUGAACCCAAGCUUGCGCAGCUCUGCUGUAGCCUUUUCUCUUAACUUCUGCUGAUGAUCCUCUUUAGAAUUUUUCUCUUGAACAUCAACCUCACAUUCCAUCACUGCUGCCAUUUUCCCAAUAUUUGUAGACACACCCUUUAGAUCACCUUGAACUUCAUGUAACAUGUCCAAAAUAGGGUCACUUGAUGUUGCAGAUACAUGAUCAUUUCCCUUCCUGUCUGUCUUCUGCCUCUUCAAGCUUGAUGAAGCUGAGUCAGUAGAGCAUCUAGGGGUUUCUCUAGACAUCCUAUCCUCCUCCUCCUCUUGAUGGUUACCACCUUCAACUGCAAGUUCUUUCUCUAUAUUUCCAACUGCUUCGCUAAGCCCUUCUGCGCCUUCACCAGUAGCUAUGUCACUCCCAUAUACGGCAGCCAAUGAAUCAUAAUAAGGGAAAGCAACACCAUAUAGGCCCUUCGCUUCAGAAUGAUACUACAAAGGAAUGCACUAGUGUUUCUCAACCUUGGCAAUCGACACAGAAUGUUGCAUUGCAAGUUGAAAUGAAAUACCUACAUUGAAGUAAAGUUUAGACAUAUCUUACAAUGUGCUUCAUAUUGUGUUUUUUCACACUGAAGCAUCUUUCUAUUCUCAUCCCAGUUGAAGCCACUUUUGUUAAGCAUUACCUCCAGUGCCCCGAACUUUGUUCUAAAGUGCCUUACUCUUGACUCAAUGUGGGAAACAACAGAUAUUCCACAGUUAGGUAACUUUUCAGCUAGAUGAGUCUCAAGCACUGAACAAUAUCCAUUCUUAAAGCCUCUCUCACCCUUCCACCUUGGGUCCAAAGAUAUCUCAUACAAGGCUUUAACCAAUUCAUCAUCCUCGGCAACAGUCCACUUCCUUUUAUUCUUUCCCCUGCCACGGAUUGUUGUUGUUGAGCUCUCAGAUAAAUCCAUAGCUGCACAAAAUGAUAACAUGUUAGAAGGGAUUGUAAAACAAAUCUACAAGUAAACUGAAAACAAAAACAGAAGCUUUAAACUCAGUAAACAGAAACAAAAAAGCAAACCUCAAUGAGAAAUAGAAGCCCUAUAAUUAUUAUACAACCCUUGAGCGAGAACAUCUCGAUAAUUAGUCCACUCAUUAGAUGUCGACACACACGUGAUAAAUUCUGGUUCACUCAUUUCCCCCUCUGUAAUUUCCUCUGAUUCCCCUGAUGAGUCAUCCUCCUCCAUUUCCAUUGGAUCAACAGACAUUCUUUGCAAAAUUAAAUUGUGCAAAAGGGCACAAGCCAUUAUUAUUCGGCAUUGAGUCUUUAUAGGAAAAUACUAUGGUGAUCUCAAAAUUCCCCAUCAACCCUUAAGCCUUCCAAAACACCUCUCAAUGAUAUUUCUUGCUCUAGCAUGCCUCAUAUUAAAAUAUUCCUCCGCACUGUGUGGUGGAUUUUGUGCAGUCCAACCACCCAAGUGAUACCUUUGACCUCUGUAUGGAGCUAGAAAUCCAUUUGCAUUUGCAUAACCAGCAUCAACAAGGUAGUAACACCCUUGAAGAACAUGCAACCCAUUUGGCCUUGAAAUAGCAUCUCGAAGCACACGCCCAUCAUGUGCUGAGCCCUCCCAUCCAGGUAAUAUAUAUAUAAAUUGCAUAUCAGGAGCACAAACACCGAGAACAUUUGUCACAAUGUCUCCUUUUCUUGACCUAUAUCUUCCUUUCAGCCUAGUUGGAACUAUUACCUUGAUAUGAGUUCCAUCUAAAGCGCCCAAACAAUUCUAGAAACAAAAGACACAACAAAUAAAAGAAGGUCACAAAACUACUUCUUUAAUUAGGAUUUUUUCUUAAAACUAAAAACUAUUUGAUAAGUCAUUUACCUUAAAAUAUUUCCAUUUACCAUCCGUGCUAUUCUCUGGUAUAGGUUCAGGGGCCUUAAGUAGCAAGUGGUGCAACUUUAAAAUAGCUACAAGACAUAAGUUGAACUGUCUACUAACUGUCUCACCACUUCGAAAGAAAAAUUCUUUUAUUGUUGAAUUCUUCAGUGUGUAUAGGAAUUGAGCCACUAUCUCCUCUAGAGACAUAUUCCGUGUUGCUUUCAACCCGCCAACAUCACUAAGCAUUUCACACAAAGUGUAAAAUGUUCUCUUGUCCAUCCGAAGCUGGCUGAUACAAGCAGCAUCACUAUUGCGAAUAAGGUUGCUCAACCACACAUUCCUUUGUUCUAUGUUUUUUAUCCUUUCUUCAAUUUUUAAACACCUCCUUUUAUAUGCCAUUGCAAGGAGUGACUACAUAUAGUAGUAAAUAACAAUGAUGAAGUCAUCAUAUUUCUAAGGGCCAUGUUCCUUCUUCGGGUUCUUGUGGAUAAAGGAAGGCGAGCCAUAUUGCUGUACACAACAAGUCCAGAGUAAGCAACACAUCUAUGUACACCUACAAAUGGCUCGAGAUAAGUGAAUACAAAUAGCCGUUGUCCUUAAUGCUUUUUUUCCAAAGUCCAAACGAUGUACAAUACAAUAAUCUGGGUUGAAAGAAUGUUUCAGAAAGGUUCAUUCCACAGGUGUAAGUACACUGUAUUAUUUAAAAUCAUGAAAUACUGGAUCAAAGAAGUGACAAGCGAACAAGAAAAACAUAAACCAGAUUACUAUGCAUGCACUUAUACUAGUAGUUCACCAAUAAGAGCUAGGUCAAUCCCUAAAUAGAUUUGAAGAGUUCAGUGCACUGGUGACAAGGCCUACUACUACCAGCUACAGACAAAGAAAUUUUAAAGAACUGAUAAUAUGACCUCAUCAAACCCAGGACAAAAUGCAACACAACAAGAACAGGAAAUAAGCCUCGACUGUUGAACUACAACAUGCUCAAAUCCAGUGCAUUGCACUGCAGAGUGCGCUUGUGAAUGAAGUCAAACCACACUGAUGCCUACUUCAGUAUGCAGCAACGAUUAUACUCUGCAGCGUCAUUUCCCUUCUUUGUUCUCUUCAGUCACCAGAGGGGAAAACAGAGCAGCCGACUACACAUUUUAGUUGCUCGCGUUCCCCCAAAACAAGAAAAGAAAAGGUCCGAGAAAAAAAUCGCAAGAAGAAUUUCACCACGCAACCGCGAAAAUAAACCCGCACAAAAACGCAAAACCCCAUUGAGAGAGUGGGAACGGCACAAGAAUUCGCAAAAUCCCCGAGAGAUUGGGAAGCGCACGGAAAUUUCGAGAGACUAGGAACAAAGACAAGUAGAAAUAAUCGCGAACAGAGAAACAAACAAAUUUCCAUUUCGAGACCUCCAUGAUUGCGCAGAAAUCGCGCGUAAUAAUCUCCCCUAUGAGCCGAGAGAAAAUGUAAAAUAGGGAUACCUGCAACUAUCCCGGCCGAGCUCGCUCCCUUCCCGCUUCCCCCAAUCUUCUUCCAGGGACCAAACAAUCCGUGGUGCGAUCUGGUGCUAGGGUUUGUGGCUUUAGGAGGGCCGGAGGGUGGGGGGGACUGGGGGCAGAAGAAGAGCCGCAUGCCCCUCCUAGCUGCCUUGCAAAGAAACGGAUCUAGAGUUAGAAGAGAAGAGGAUUUGAGAGAAGGAUGGGAAAGGGAGGAAGAUCUCAACACCUUUGUACCGGCGACGAGGGGAGCAACCGCCGCCGAUGUUCGGGAGAUGGAGGACAGGCCACCGGCGGCACACUCCUCCCCGGCGCGAGAUGGGGGCGACGGGAGUAUCGAAUACGCGGGGAGUUUCCAGGGCAGACGGGGGGUAUUGAGUGUCCGGGGCAGACGGGGGAGACGAGGGGAGCGGUAUCGUGGGAUACUGGGGAGGGAGCCCUGUAAACGGAUGGAAACUGCGGGUAAUCGGAUUGUGGGUAAUCGGAUUGCGGAGGAGGUUGAAACAAAUGGGUGUAUGGGUAUUGCUUAACACCCGUAAUCUAUUUACGUUACAUUUACACGAACCAAACGCCUUCUAAGUAUUUACCCUCGAAGUUGAAUAAUUGUUAACACCCAAUAAUCAUGCAAUCAAGGGGAAGGAUGUGGUCGAUUAUCUGCCGAAAGGAGCGAAUUAGAGCUUUUAAAUUUCUGUGACAUUGACUGAAUAAUACCUAUACGUGGGUAAGACAUUUACUAGUUGGAUAAUGUCUGCACCCAUAUUAUAUAUCUACUUGGAUAUACAAUCGUCUAUAUAAAUGGAUAAUUGUCACACCCAGGUCUAAGGACAAACCCGGGUGCAUUACAUACAUGUGUGAUCCAAAUUCACACAUGUACAACAAAUAAUGGUCAAACAAAGUCUAUGCCAUAGAAAAUAGAGAGAAUUAUCCAGUUACAUGACCAAAGUCUGCAUAACACAAAUAAAAUAAACAGAACACAUGGGAAACGAUAAACGACAACUCCACAGGUAGCCAACCGGUGAACGUUAAGCCUAGAAGUCUUCAGAGUCCCGCAGGUACUCCUCCGGGUACACUUGGUCUGUAUGGUUGAAUGCAAGGGUGAGUACAUGUCGUACUGAGCAAGCCAUGGGGAAUCAUGUGUAGUGUAAGGCCAUCAAGGUGGGCUAAGGCUAAGCAGCAAGCAUUGAUUUUAGUUGGUCACAUUUUAUUAUCCAUAACUUAGGUGUAAGUUUAUACCUCCCAAAGAUUAAGCAAGAACAUAUAUAAAGUAAAGCAUGAACAAAUGAUUAAAGUAACAACGGUUUAAUGACAUAUUUCGAUAAGUUAAUCAUGUGAGGGUCUAGGCCACUCUUGACCGUGAGCACGGCUGAGCGAUCAGGUUUUUAGACACUCUGCGGAGGUUGUACACUUUACCCACAAGUCGCGUAAAAGUUCAGAGGAACUUUGGACCCAACCACGCGAUGCUAGCUAGGCAUCAUAUCACACUUUCGAGGUGUGACCGUAUAGGGACGCUACAAGACCUUUACAAAGGGCCAUUAGUGAUUGAUAACCCGCUAAGGUUUCGGUGUCCGGCGCGCACAACCUCCUGAAUGCCGAUUAUGCGACGACUCCGUCCCCCUCUUGCCUCUUCCUAAGGUUACCCCAAACUAAUGAUCCUAAUUACUUAGCCAAAAUCAGAGCCAUUUAGUUCUCGUGGUUGCACUAUUUUCCUAGGUGGUCGCCCCAUGUUCCGAUUAAAUAUUAUGGUCUUGUAAUAACAAAAGGUAUAACAUAAGCAAAGCCAUUUAAUGUAUAUCAGAUCUAACCAUGACUAUGUUUGAGCACUAGACAUAUCUAUUCAUCAAGCUACCCAGUUGAUCAAGGCAUUGGACAAUAAAGACUAGUCAUCCUUAAAUCGGACCCAUCAAGUUAUUCUAGCAUGUGCAUUGCGAUGUAACGUAUGAACAGAAGGUAAAGGAAUAGGACUUUAAAUGUGAACCAAGGGCACGACUUGCCUUCUUGCUCUGGUUCCUGCUGCGCGUAGUCUUCGUACGCGGGUUCCUCGAACUCUUCGACAAACGAAUCGUCUACUCGUACAACACGGCACAAACAUAGAAGCAUACAAGAGAAAAAGGUAAGAAACAGUACAUCAUUUCAUAAAAACAGAGAGAAACAGAAUCACUAAUCUAAUAUACAUGUCAAGACGAGCGCGUGGGUAUAAAAUUUGCUCAAAUCGGAGUUAGGACCUGAAAUCUACACUAAAAACAAGCUACAGGGGCUUUUCUAUGAUAAAAUAAACAUUCCAGGGGCUAGACUGCGAAAAAUAAGGACCUAAACGUAAAUAAACAUUAAGACCGAGGGCUAACAUAUAAAGACACUAAGGCUGGACCGCGGGUACUAAUAGAUAAAAGAGCAGGGGCUAACGCGCAAAAAGAAAGGGCUAAAACAUAAUUAUUUUCCGAUACAGAAGGACAGUGGGUUGAUUAAAAAGAAAAUUAGGGGUUCUUUAGAAAAACUGCCAUUACGCGGCUCGGGCGAACCGACACAGCUCGGCCAGAUUAAGUCUGAACCGUCGGAUCGCCGAUGGACGGUGGAUGCGUGCGCGGGUCAGCUCGGCUUAGCGGCAGGGGCCGGACGGCUCGAAGCCGAUAGCCCGCGGAUCUGGGCCGUUAGCUGAAAGAUUGACGGCGGGUGGAGGGUCGCGGGUACGAUCUGAUCUGGGCCAUCCAGCCGAGAUCGGACGGUGGCUAGGGGGUUGCGGUGCAAAUUGAAUCCACGUCGUUGGCCCGUGGAUGGACGGUGGCGAGCGCAAUUUAAUCUCGACCGUUGGUGUGCAGAUAGACGGCCAGCGGAGCUUCGCGUGAGGGGAACGACGGUGUGCGGCGGAGUGCGGCGGUGAGCUCGCCGGAGUUGCCGAUACGGUGAUUCCGGUCGUGGUUUGGCGCGAGGAUGGCACGGGGAAGUAGAGGGAGACGGGGAGAACCCGUUUGUGGGGUUUGCGCGGGCAGCGCGGUGACGGCGUCGCCAGAACGCGCGCGACAGCGGCGGUGGCUGACGAACUACGCGCGGAGAAGAAAAACACGGAGGGGAAAGGGCACUGCCGGCUCACCUGCGCAGCGGCGGCAACGGCUACAAGGUGACGACGAGCACGGUCUUUGGCGAGGAGGAUGGUGUGGCGCGUGUGAGUGGAACUUGGGUUGCGAACUGGAGCUCGAGGGCGCGGGUGUGUGGCGGCCUGGGAUUUAAUGGUGAGGGGAAGCAACGGCUCUGGCGGUCGUGGCUGGAACGUCAGGGAGUGGGUAAGAGGGGUGCAUGCGGGGAGUGGAGGGAGAGGGAAGAGGGCGGCGGUUCCGGAACGGUGCGGGCGCGUGCGCCAGAGGAAUCGGAGGCCGUUCGCGGCCGGCACGAGGGAGGGGAUAGAGCUGACGUGCGGGCCCCGCGCGUCAGGCUCUGGAGGGGAGAGGGUGGCCAGCUGGGCCGAACCGGUGCUGUUGGGCCGGGUGAAAGGAAACGGGCCGGGGUUGUUCUCGGGCUGAGAAAGGUGAGGGAAGAGGGAGAGUGCUGUCGGGCCGAAAGAAGAGGAAAAGGGAGAUGCGGCCCAACUGAGGGAGAAGUGAGAAGGGUGAGGUUUGCUCAGAUUUCGAAUUUGAAAAUUGAAUUCGGAUUUGAAUUCGAAAUUCGAAAGUACUACUAAGGCAAACCAAUAGCAUGAAAGGCACAAACAAUUCAUGACAAUUAAAUUUAUUCAAAUUUUUAUGAAAUUUGGUUUGGCACAAAUUUAGGGUGUUACAAUGUCUCUGCAUUUGCAUCUUUACAAAUUCAAGGUCAACUAUAGCAACUAACCGAUUGAAUGCUAGAUAGUCAAGUGACAUAAUCAACGUCUGUCCAUGGAGUUUGUCAACUCUUGGAAUCAGUUUGCCGAUUGGUGGCUAGAAAGCUUUUUAGGGCCGGUUUGGGAGGGAGGGCUAAAGUUUGGGAGGGAGGGCUAAAGUUUAGCCCUGGGCUACUGGGUUAAACUUUAGCCCACCCAAAUAAAGGGGCUAAAAUUUAGCAGUGUUUGGGAGGAAGGUUAAAGUUUAGUACUUUAGUUAUCAAAAGACUCUUUUACCCCGUCUCCUUUACCCCCACCUUCUUCCCUCUACUCCCUCGACGCCCUCCCCCCGCUCGUCAAAACCAACCAACGCCACCAUCACCACCCCACCACCAGUUACUACUGCUCCCUUCCUCCCUGCGCCUCGCCUACAGGAAUCCCUCCUCGGAUUCCUUCCCCCGCUCCAGCUCCCGACCCCCAUCCCCACGCAGCCGCCUGCACUGUGCUGCCGGCUGCCGCCUUCGGGAUUUGGCGGGAUCUGGGGCGUCGCAUGCCAUCAUGGAGGAGGUAGCGGACAGAGGCCGUAGGGGCGGGCGAAGCCGGCGGAUCCGGCCGGAGGAGGCGGGGACCGGCCAGGACCUCCCCAAGGCGCCAUCGCGAGGCUCACCCUCGAGGAGGCUUGGAUCGGGCGCAAGGCACCGCGCCCUCCACCGCCAGCGGCUGCACCUCGGCCCCCGCGGUCUCCACGACUCCCCCUGGCACCCCUUGCGCCUCCGCGCCGGCCGUGCCGCCGCCGCCGCCCUCCUCCGUGGCGGUCGGGUACUACUACGCGGUGGAGCUCUACUUCGACCCGGCACUCGAGAACCAGGUGCUCAAGGCGUGGACGCGCUUGCGCGGUGGCAACUCGGCACCCGCCUCAUCGACGCCGCCGCCCGCCCGCACCUCCCGCUGCUCCACCUCCCCGCCGCCGCGCUCCCGCCGCCUGGGACCGGUGCCGGCGGGGACCUGCUCCUCCGCCUGGGUCCCUCGCUCCGGGCGCUGCUGGGCCUCCACGCGCAGCUCUGCGAGCUGCUGCGGAAGGACGCGGGCGUCGAGGUACGCGACGUGUUCCGGCCGGACCACUGGGUCCCGCACUGCGCCGUCGCCAACAGUGGGGAGGAGAGAGAGAGAGAGAGGGGAGGAGGCGGCAGGGCCGACUGGAGGCGGAGGCGGCGGGGCCGGUGGGAGACGGCGGGUGAGGCGGAGGCAAUGGGGUGCCGUGCGGCGGGAUCUGGCGGGGAGGAGUGAGAGGGAGGAGAGAGAGGGGCAAGGGGAGGAAUUUUGGAUAAGGGGGACCACUUUUAGCCCCUUUAGUCCAUUCUAGCACCUCUUGGAGGGCUAAUGGAUUAUGGGGGGCUGAAAUUUAACCCCUCCAUUUUAGCCUAGGUGUUUGGGAGCACUAGUGACUAAAAGUGACUAAAAUGGGAGUGCUAAAAUUUAGCACCCCUCUCCCAAACACCCCCUUAAAACAGCACCUCAAUUCCUUGGUGACAAUAUACAAAAGAACCUCGACGGCACGAAACCUCGGCAUCAGGUGCUGGCAAAUGGCAAUUCAUGUCAGAAGGAGAGACAUCUUGCAGCUCUGACCAAUCCAUCCGUGGUUCCGCGAACAUGCUAGAAACUUUCGAAGCAUCUUCUUCUUGUGUCAAAGCGUAUGAAAAAACAAUACUCUGACGCCAAAUGGUAAUUAUAGAAGGUAUCUUGAUUAUAGAAGGUAGUAGCUAACAUAACUUUGUUUCAUUCCAUAACCCUAAAAGAAAUACUCUGACGCCAGAGCCAGGCCGGCAGAGACGUACAUCUCCUGCCUUUUAAAAGCCCAUGCUGAAGAUCAGAAACCGAUUUAACAACAGGGAUCUUACAAUGGCAGUGACGCGAGCGUGCUUGAUCGCGCUCGUCGUGGCGGCGGCGGGGGGCGCUGCCGGGACGUCGGAGCAGCGGCGGCGGCAGGUGCGAAGCCUCCUCAAGAGGCUCAACAAGGAUCCUCUCGCAACCAUUCAGGUACUCUCUUCAUUCUCUGGUGUUGUCGUUCAGUGGCUUCAUGAUUUGCGUGCAGCACACUAAUUUACCAAAAUUAUCUACAUAUUUUUACUUACUUUUUUGCAACUGAAAAAUUUCACAUGACCUUCGGAUUCAUUCCAGUCCUAAUGUAUGCAUAAUCCUCUGUUUCUUUUCUACUUUUAUUGCGAGUACUGAUUCUAUGAAAAUUAACAACAGAGUGCAGAUGGAGAUAUCAUAGACUGUGUGCCCAUCUCCAAACAGCCUGCAUUGGAUCAUCCACUCCUCAAGAACCAUACUAUCCAGGUUCCUCUCUGCUGCACCAUUGUCCUUCCCUUUUCAUUUCAUUGUUGGGUGCAGAUAGACACCGCAUAAACACAUUGCGUGCAUCGUCACCUUCCAGAUGCGGCCUUCUUACCACCCAGAAGGCCUGAGGGAUGACUCCAACAUCGCACCACAUUCAAUCACCCAAACAUGGCAUCAGAAUGGCAAGUGCCCUCCAAACACAAUACCAAUCCGAAGGACCAAGGAGGAGGAUGUCCUGAGGGCUAGCUCUGUCAAGAGGUAUGGAAAGAAGAGGCCAAGGAGCAUACCGAACUUCUUUUCAGUUGAUGACCCUAACAAGCUCAAUGUGACGAUUGGCCACCAGGUACAAAACCUAUUCAAGAUCAAUCACCAUUGUACAAUUAUUAUUUUAAAAUGUAUCAUUUAACUUCAUUUGCUCUCUCAUUGAGCAGCACGCCAUAGCGUAUACACCGAAGGCAAGGUACUAUGGAACCAAAACCAGCAUCAAUCUGUGGGAGAGGGCCCAGCUAUAGAUCUCUGGGGGUUCCUAUAGGCGACCUCAAUACAAUUGAAGCAGGAUGGUAGGUUAGACCUCCAAGGGAAACAUUAACCCACCUUCAUAAAUGUUCUGUGAAACGCUGACUUUCAGCUUCCAUGGUAUAUGUGAUGCUCAAAGAACCACAGCUAUGGCGAGUAGGAAUUAUCGAUCUAAAAAAUACUCUUUCAUGAGUUGUUCUAGCAGCAUUAUUACCAGGGGAGAAGGGUAAGUAGAAUGCUACAGAGCAUAUACAGCUCUUGUGUUUACACAUGUUCAAAUUUUUUGCAAAAACACGGAACAGACGAAGACAUUCACAUAUAUGCAUGCACACUCACCCACUAUAAACACCUUAGUCGUACAGAUGCACGCAAUAUCCACCUUUAGGAAGGCAUGCAUGCACAUCCAACCCCUAUGAAAGCUUCGAAGGACAAGGCUCCCACAUCUUUAGAUUAAUAAAGUAACCAAAAGGCGUGUCGUUUUUUACAAGCACAUCACCUGCCACUAAAGGAAUAAUUAGCCAAGAAAGUAAGCACCUAUGCUAAGUCAGAGACUUGAUUACUUGAUGGGCAGGUUCCACCAAUCUAACCAACUACUCAAGUUGGACCCUAGAUCUUGUAAUAUUAUUGAAGAAAACAUCCAUAGUCUGUUGUCUUUACUCUAUAGAAGAUCUUGUAGAAUUUAAUUAUCAAAAAAACAAUUGGAAUCCCUACAAAUUUUGGCAAUAUACGAAUGAUUAAGGUUGAGGCAAACUCACUUGGCAAAAUGGAAUGGGAGUUUUCAUCCACAUCAUGGCCUAAAACAGUAGCUCAUAGGAGGAAAGGACACAUCUUAAAAUGACGAAACUAGCAAUAGCCAUGGCACCAAGUUACGAUAGAAGGCUGCAAUAGGAAGUGAAAUCGAUGAAGCUAACUUUUAAGUAAACACAUAUCCAAGGGAGUGACAAAAAUGGAGAAACUAAGGGUUGGGAUGAAAGAGAAUAUAGAACAUUUAGUGAUUAAUGGAAAUACUUCAUAUGAGGACCAAAUUAAAAUGUAUCUACAUAGGUAUUUUGAGAAACUCUUGGCAAUAAAUUUUGUGAUUCCUAUGCAUUUUGUAAUGCAUAUUAUUAAGUCAUGCAAUCUCUUUCAGUAUGGCUAACGGUCUGUUCUCUCCACAAAAUUGCAGGUUUACCCUGAGUUGUAUGGGGAUACAUAUACAAGACUCUUCAUAUACUGGACUGUAAGAUAAGCAUCACGUUCCUUUUUAUCUUUAUCAGUAAGUUAGGAAAUGGCAUUAAGUUACUAAUUCUUUAUUGCUACGGAAUAUAAUAUUGUAGCGUGAUGCAUAUCUAAGUACAGGUUGUUAUAACCUACAGUGCUCAGGGUUCAUCCAAACAAACAAUCAGAUCGCCAUCGGUGGUAGCUUCUCCCCUGUAUCCAGAUACGGUGGCUCACAAUAUGAAAUAACUAUUUUAAUCUGGAAGGUAACACAAAAAAAUCUUACACAUUCCGAGCAUAGCAAAUCAAAUUCAUGGAUGGACACAGAAAAUGUGCCAGCUUCUUGUUCUUUAUUGAGGCAAAAGUUCAAUUGUAAGUUGAGGCUACAACCGUGAUGAUGUUGGCCUGUUUGUGGCCUCACUCACGAGUUGAGUUGUUCCCAUGCACGCAACAGAUUUUUUCCACAAAUGCAACUAGAUCUCUGAUGUUAGCCUUCGGAACAAAGAUUGAGCUAUAUCCCCUUGCCAUAAUCCUGUCUGACUCCCCAGUAAUUUUUUUUGCCUCCAGGAUCCAAAGGGUGGCAACUGGUGGUUGCAAGUAGGAAACCAUAUUUUGGGCUAUUGGCCAUCAACCAUCUUCUCCUACUUGCAAAUUAGUGCAUCCUAUGUCAUGUGGGGCGGAGAGGUGUACUCGCCUUACGCCGGCCAAACUUCGUCAGACAUGGGCAGUGGGCACUUCCUUGGGGAAGGGUACGUACAGCAAGGCCAGCUACAUCAGGAACGUACAAGUGGUCGAUUCGUUCAACAAACUCAAAUCACCAAAUGUUGUCGGAUUGCGGAAUAAGCAGCCCAACUGCUACAACGUGCAGAGCGGCACCAAUAGCAUCAACUGGGGCACUUACAUCUUCUACGGAGGACCAGGGAAGAACCCUAGCUGUCCAUAGUAGAACCCUAGCGGCACCAUAUCUCCUUGUCACAUGACGGAUAACCCUUUAGCAAUGCAUUACGCAUUACUAGAGGCCCAGUAAGUAUUGCUAGUGUCUAUACUAGCGCUUGUAUAUGUGUUGCAACAUGUGGCGCUGCAAGGAUAAAUUACUACAUAUGUAUGUAUCUACAUAUGCAUUGGGUAAGAUGUGUGAACAAGUAUAUGAAGUUUGGAAGAAAUAUGUUAAAUUAAAGUUUGCAACAAUUAUAUUAGAGUUAUGUUGCACGUUUUGAAAUGUUAAAUUGUUAGUGGAACUGAGUAUGCACUGCAAAGUACCCUAAUAUAUUGGUAAGCAGAGGCAUAUUAGAAUUAUGUUGCACGUCCAUGAGCACAGACACAAGCAAUUCGUGGUCUCUUAAACCUAUUGUCAGUGACUCCAUACAAUUGCUGACCUUUUUGUCAUAUCCGGACUUUAGUUCAGGGUCUCCAAAGUACAUAUACCCGCAGCCAAAAAAAAUUCUGUCACAUUGGAAAUGACUUUUAGUUGUCCGGCGAGCCUUGAGGACUGAUGAACUUCGUCGCUCUUGCACGCAGGGCAAACAGUGAGACGUACACGUAUUAUGUAUGAACGACAUCAGGGGUAGGUGAUACAAGAUGGCAGGAGUUGUAAGUAAGGCAAUGACAUGGCACCCGAUUCCCAAUUCAAUGAGCUCGCCGUCGGGGACUUGCUUCUUGACAAAGGCCACUAUUGGAUCCCAAAUCUCGACGAGGUCAAGUCUACCCUAUCUUGAACUCGGGCGAGGUUUAGACACAACGAAGAUGGAAUAAUGCUUGAAACGUCUUUUCAUUCAACAGUGAACGUAGAAAUUUACAACGGGGUAGGGCUCCCCUUUUAUAGUGCCUCGGAGGAUAUUUUACAUUCCGCAAAUGCCCUCAACCAACCACUACAUUAUGGGAAUAUGCUUUACAUCAAGAUCAUUUGGAGGUCACGCUUUUCACGCCACUUGCAGCUCCGCAAAUCACACUCUCACAAGGCUCCGUAGAUCACACCUUGACAAUCGUAUAGAAGCCGCAAGCGAAGAAAGGACGGGUUGAGGAGAGCUGGCGGCGCACGCUAGAAUCCAAAGUGCAUUCUGUAGAAGUAAGAAUGUAGGACAAAAUCAAUCGUCAAGUGGCCCACACAGUUGCCCAAUCUGGAGCACAGCCGGAUCCAAAAUUCGCUAGCCCUUCUCAACGCCUCGGGAGCAACUAUGCUUCCACAGGGCUCCCCGAUGCGCAUAUGCCAGGAUUACCCAUGGACGAGUAACGGUUCGCUGUAGAUUUCAUCACACAAUGCACCUCAUGUGAGCCGCAUACACCGGUCGGCAACCUGACCAUUAAGGUAUACUCUUAUACAUAAUAUUUAUGCAAUCUCUCAAUCCAUCGAUCCACACCUCAGGAUUGGAGUUUAAUAACAUCUUUAUUUCUGCCAUAUGUACAGGUGGCAUAUGGGAGUGUCUUACAAAUCCUAGCAGGACAGACAAGCCAUGGCAUAGAGAUUCCACCUGGCUAUGCUAGCGUCAGCGUAGAGCGGCUCCCUCAUAGCCAAUAUGAAGGCCUCGAGCUCAAUGUCCUGGGAGGUGAUAGGGAAAGCACACUAGGAGAUGCGCUUCAAGGCAUCAUUCUAUGGUGCAAAUAUUACAUCAUCAUCCCCAGCACGGAGGCAUCACCACUCCCCGCAGAUCCCCAGCCGCAACCAUCUCCUCAAAGGUCAAGACCGACUUCUCCACCAUGGCUUCCUCCAGGACCGUCACCACCAAGACCAUCGCUUCUUGGUCAAUCAAGGUCUCCAUCUCAACCACAUCCUGGCGUUGACGACGACAACAACACCCUCCCCGAUCACCGACGCCGGCCCCCAGCAAGGAACCUGUGGCACCACUUAAGAAGUCGCGACCACCGCCUCCCAAGCCAACACAAAGAAAGAGGGAAACAAAGGAGCUUGAAGUGACUCCUGAGGAACACUGGGAGGCAAUGACUCAUGAGGAACACUAGGUCGAAAUCCAUGCAGAAUGCAGGGAGUGGUCUAGGAAAAGGGCCGAAGAAAAAAUAGUAAGGGAGAUGGAGCCACCUCCAGUAGAUCCAAAUAAAUUACAAUUUUUUAUUAAGAUGUCAAAAUCAGUCAAGAAGAUGAUGAGAGGAAAAAAAAGGAAAGGAAAGUCAUCUUCAAGGAUAGCAGUAAUGCCCUUGGAUCAACAAGAAUAAGUAUUGAAAUUCAUGGAAGAUACAGGUAUGGGACUUGAUGCAUGUCUAGGGCAAGUUGACCUGCCAGCUGCAUGGCCAGUUCAACCGAAAUGGACCUUUGAGCUGCAAGUCUCUAGUAAGGCCUAAGUUGGUAGGGAAGUUAUCAGCAAAGAUGUAUGAAUUCCAUGAAUGGUACAUGAGGACGUCCGCCGACCAGACGGCGAUGUUUGGCCUUAAGGUAAACUGAUAGAUUUUUUCGACGAAGGCGAGAAACUCCUCUGGCUGGAAUUCAAAGAUAUAUAUGAAGUGUACCAUCAUGAUGCCCUAGAUGUCUCUCUCAUUAGCGCCUGGGCUCUGUAAGUAUCCGUUUAUCUAUAUACAAAUUUUGGUUCAUAUCAUUAUUUUUUAUGUGUGCGUCGCCCUACUAACUUUGUCUUCCAUUUUAUAUAGGACGCUAAUAUAGAAGUGCCGACGAGAAGGAUACUUCCAUGUUAGCUUCAUGGAUCCAUCCCUACUUAAUCAAGAUCAAAUAUGGGAUUUUUUUAGAGAAAAUGUUGAUGGAAGUAUUCAAUUUCCUGGACAAACAAGCUUACAAGUGUUACAUACUGCUUCCAUACAACUUCAAGUAAGUGUUUAUAUACCAUCUAUUUUUGUUUUCUUUUCCUUACCUGAUUAAUGUUAGGUAGCUCUAAUAUAUAUGAACAUUUACAUACGUAGUUUCCACUGGAUCCUCAUAAUAAUUUAGCGUGAUAGAAGCCACGUCACUGUCUUCGAUUCGUUGAGAAAACCACUAGCGGAGUACCAAGACAUUGAAGACAUCCUAAACUUGUAAUAAUUCUGGACCUUUAUCUCAAUGCAAAAGUUUGUUUCCUAAAUUUUUGGCUAACACUGUAUCAUUCAUUAUUUUAAUCCGUAGCGCAUGGAGACAAUUCCACAAGAAACACAAAUGUGCAUUCAAAGAAAAACUUACAUGGAACACAAAGUACCCGGUACGUAUGAAGUUUGCACAUUUUUGUACAUUCUAUAUCAUGAAUAUUUCAUAACUUGUUUCUUUCCCCACUGAAGUGUUGAAGAUAGUAACCCGUGAAUAAUCUAUGUGGCUACUACAUAUGUGAGAACAUGCAUAGUUUUGUGUCACACAUGGUCAGGUUGACGGAGCAUGAAAAAAAGUAUGUAAAAUAAAACUAUUAAUAGUUAAUUGUUUUCUAGCUCCUUAUAUUUAAUUGUUUGUGUAACAUUAUUCACAUAUUUCCAAAUUACAGAUGCAUAAUAUUCAACAUAGUAUCUUGGAGAAGGAAAGAAUAGGGGCAAUAUGUGAAGGUCUCGUAGGAUUCCUGGUGGACAAGGUGAUAAAUCCACAAGGAGAAUUUCAUUACGAUGGAUGAAAUUAAGAUGCUCCGAGCAACACCUCGACGGGAAGAUCCUAGGAAUUGUUUAUAUACUAAGAAUUGUAUGUAUAAUAAUUGUAUAUACACUAAGAAUUGUACAUAUUCUAAGAAUUGUACAUAUAGUAAUUGUAUAAAUACGAGUUUGAUUUAUUUAAAUACUAGUUUGAUUUCAUUAUAAAAAAAAUUUCAACUACUAAAGGUUAACUAAUGGGGUUGUGAUGCAUGAAAUUACAGGCGCCAUGCAAGCGCCUGCAUGGCGCGCACCUGAAAUUUCGCGGAUGCACAGUCCUUAGUUCCAGUUGAGGGACUCGGGACUAAAGACGCCCCCCACCCUUUUGUCUUGAUUGGUUUAUCCGGGAUGGUUUUUCAGAAGAUUUGCUCCCUAUCAACCGGGACUAAAGGUCAGUUUUCCACCAGUGACUAGCACAUUAUGGUUUGGUGUUCAAGGGUCAGUUGCUAAGUAUACAUCUACAUUGCAUUAGUAAGAGGUUUUAGCGACUCAAAUAUAUUCAUGUUUCCUCGUAUAUGUUAUGGAGUAUAGAAUAAGCAGGUUUCAUCAUUGUUAUUACAACUGUAUAUGAACUAUAGAUACAUAAAUUGGAUUAUUAAGGAAUAUCACUGAUGAUGGAAUCGAAAACUGUUCCAGCAUCUACAUCUUGAAUGUGCAACAUUCAUGACGCAUUUGAUCAAUGAUUAUCAAGGAACAUACGACUCCAUCAAGAACAUUCAACAGUCAAUAGACGACAUAAAAAUAAGGUCUGAAUUCUAGAGCUUAAAAAUACAUAAUCUAAGUUCUUAGUAUUGAAAACAUUUUCCUUUGAGAACUUGUUCUCUAUUUGAGAACUAGUUCCAGCUUGUGCUAGUUUAUUUGUCUAAAAAGAAAAUAUUGUGUUCAAACUGAAUGCAUAAUGCACUAAAAUAUUGUACAAAGGUGACUUUACAAGGAUAUAUUAAGUUUACAAAAUCAGUGGUUGGUGUGACGUUAGAAAUAUAUUUGUCCGGUUACAAAAUGAAUGAAAUAGAAAAACGGACAGAGCUGGCUGUGAGUGUGUCGGCCCAAUUUAUCUUACACUUUUCUUUCCUUCUCUUUAAUUUUUGUAGUAAAAUUAUAUAUUACCACACCCACAGAAGCUUGGUGAGCCCAGAAAGCCCCCCGGCCAGUCAUUCGACAAUUCUCGAAGCCGUUUUGAAUCUGAUCGACCAUGUUGGAAGCUGCUGUCGUCAAGGCAGAGUGUGCUAUCAUGUGUGGGCAGUUUAGCCGUGGCUCCAACAGGGCUCCCAGAAGGUACAGUAGGGCGAAGUGAAAAAACUGUUGGGAAGAAGAUGACAUAAAAGUCUGCAUACAACCACAUUAGCACAUGGAUGAGCCCAUUCGCAUCAUCAAGACAAUCUUCUUGCAACUGCUCCAGAAUACGUAGUAUGGGAGCAAAUUAUUAACAGAACUGGAUCACUGGCAUGAGUCAUGGCUACAUUAGCUACCAUAUGACCAACAGAAUUAAGUGAUCUGGAAAAAAUAUUGAGAAUGACGAACAAGCGUGCGUACAGAUAAUGUGUGACAUAUAUAGAGAAGGAAGACCCAAGUUCAAAAAAUACGUAACUUACUUGAAUCCAAAGUUGCAGAAAUUAUUAUUACAUAAAUUGUGUUGUCCCGCACAAACGGCGCAUCGACCUCUAAUUCACGAACGGCCACCAACCCACUGAAGCUGAGCUCGCUUCUCAAGGCAAUCUUUUCCGUGCUGCCCAGAAUAGUUUCUCUCUUUUUUCGACAAUGGCACUAUCGGCAAGGCUUAUCCAUUUUGCACCCGUGCCGAAAUCCUGUGGCAACAUGCCAUUGACCCAAAGCGUGAUCUUGUUAGGGUGCUCCACGGCUUCUUUUCUCAGUACAUCUAUUGUCUCGCGGAUGCCCGGACCGUCACUUGUAUAGUACUCGGAGCAUCGGAACACGACCUUCUCAAGACUGCCGAGAUGCUUGAUGCCCAUGUAGUAGUCUUGACUUGCUGUUCCGGUGUAGAACUUGAACUCAAGAUGCUUCAGCUUCGGCAUCGCUCCUUCCCCGAAGGUGAUCACCCGUGGCAGACGGCCAUCGACGUAGAACGUCUCUAGCUUUGGAAACCCUCCACCAGUGAUGGCAACCGCCUCCCGUGGGAGGACCUCGAACCUUAGUUGGAGAGCCUGCAGGUUGGGCAUCUGCGUCUUCAGAAACUCGAGGUCUUCGUGCACAAGUUUGCAGAGCCUGAUAUCUAAGGAGCAGACAUUCCACAAGUGUUGCUUGACCCACUGCGGGACUUUCAUGUGUCUCCCGGCAACUCUAAGCAUCCGAACUGGUAGGACUUCACACCUCCAGCGGAAAUGGUUAAAGAGGAUGAGGAUGGAUAGGUCAUCCCUGCACUUUGCUUCAGAAGAGGAAAUAAUAACCUCUUCACCACCACUUGAGCUAAUGACACCCGGAGGCGACAUAAUCAACUUCUCCACUUCAUCAUAAUCAACAACCACACUUAAUAACGGAUUCGGGUCUCUACUGCAGGAUAGCUCUCGGACCUUAGUACCUCUUAUGUCCAGAGUCCUCAGAUGCUGCAGUUUCCCGAUUUCCUUAGGCAACUCUCUCACCCGUGUCCAGCUUACAUCCAGAGUCUCCAAACGCUCAAGGUUCUUGAUUUCCAUAGGCAGCUCCGUGACCUUUGUGCGACUUACAUCCAGAGUCUCUAAGUGCUGCAGUUUCCCAAUUUCCCUUGGUAGCUCCGUGACCUCUGUACGACUUACAUCCAGAGUCUUCAAAGAUUGCAAUUUCUCGAUCCACGUAGGCAGCUCCGUGACCUUUGUGCGACAUACAUCCAGAGUCUCCAAGCGCUCAAGGUUCUUCAUUUCCCUUGGCAGCUCCGUGACCAUUGUGUCACUUACAUCCAGAGUCUCUAAGUGCUGCAGUUUCCCAAUUUCCGUUGGUAGUUUACUAAUCUGUGUACCUGCCACGUACAGGGUCUCCAGAUUCUGAAGUCUCCCAAUCUCCCGUGGGAGCUCUGUGAUUUGACCGCAGCCCAUAAGAUCCAGAUACUUGAGCCAAAUCAGCCCACAUAUAUCGACCAGAUGACCAUUCUCUAGACGACUGCUGUUACGUAUUUCUAGCACUCGCAGCACCUUGAACGCCUUGAAGGGCACACCAUCCAGCUGGCAUUGAUAACCAGAAACAACAAAGGAGCGAGUAUGAGACAGCACAUCCUCAUCUGGACAGCCAUACGUGUUGAGACAAAGACGACGGAUCUGUUUGGCAUGCGAGGAGUUGCCGCCCCAUCCGUAAGCAAUAAAAUUAUCUUCCUUUGCUUUGCACACGAGGAUGGCUGCCAUGAUGGGGUGAAUUGUGCACUUCGCAUUCCUGGAGACGAGCAGAUUCCUGGACACGAGCACCUCCAGGUAAGAAUUUGCUACUUCAACUUGCGAAACAAAUCCUUCAGCAAUCCAUUUUCUCACCAUGCAUCCCCUAUUAAUACCAUCAUCCUUCGGAGGAUAUAUGGUACAGUAUAGCAAGCAAGUCUUCAGCUGAACGGGAAGAUCGUCGAAACCAAGGCAUAGACUCUGGACCAGUGGUUUCAAGGAUGGAGUACUCAGAAACCCAUCAUCCAGAAUGUGGCUUGCCCAUGUAUUAUAUUCCCCAUGAUGGUGGCUCUCUGCCCAUGCUGACGACAAACAGAUUACUGCUAGCGGACAAAAACUAAAUUCUGACCCGCCGCACAUAUUCGCAAUCUGCUUCUGCGCGUUGGUUCCCUUGACAGAUUUGCUCAGUAUCAUAGCUGAUAGUUUUGCAGCUUCCCCAACAGUAAACUUCUGUUUGUACACAUGUGCACCUUGUUCAGUUUCACAUUUCUCGGCUAAACUCCUAGCCCGGGUCGUCAUGAUUAAUUUACAGCACAGAUUAUUCUUGGGAAGAGCCUUACGGAUGACUUCCCAUUCUUCCCAGUGCCAAAUGUCAUCAAUUAUGACCAGGUACCUAAAAAAACAAGACCAAAGAAACUUUAACAUUUGGGCCAUCUUAUCCCUGUUGGGAUCGCCCAAAAGACGAUUGCCCUCGAGGUCACUCGAAUCUAGUUAAGUCCACCGCGAAGUCAUGCAAAACAAUUGACUUCGGAAGAAAAUCACCGGCUUCAAGCAGAACACAACGCAAGGGAACAAUCCUAACCUCCAGAUUCUAAGGUCGGGCCCAAAGCUAAGGCAGGAUUUGGCUGAUUCACUAACCAAAUAACGUUACCUUGGGCACUCAAAGUUAGGGGUACCGAGUUGUUUGGCUACUUCGUUCAGGAUGAAGUGGCGAGCACAUCCGAAUGUGAACGAGCUUCGGGUGCAAGGUCAAGGACUCCAUAACACCCAUAGCUGAACGAGCUUCGGGCGCGAGGUUGAGAAGAAUGAAGUGGGAAACGUUGAAACAGUCAAAGCGUUGAAGUAGUCAAGGCGCAAUUUGUGGGGCCUUGUGAGAGCGUGAUUUGCGGAGGUUGUCGGGUGGCGUGACAAGUGUGACCCUCCAAUGACCAUUGUGUAAAGCAUAUUUCAGGAAUGUAGUAGUUGGAUAGAGGUAAGUGUGUAAUGUAAAGUGCCCCCGAGACACUAUAAAAGGGGAGCCCUACCCCGUUGUAAUUUUCACAUUCACUAUUGAAUGAGAGGAUAUUCGGCGGGAAACUCUUUUCGUUAUGCCCUAACCUCGCCUGAGUCCGAUACAUUCCCGACUUCGCCGAGGUUCAGAACACAACAAUCCCAUGUUACUAUUACUAAUUGAUUGGAAUGUUCAUACUCACAUGACAUACUAUAAAAACAGAAUCCUAGAAAUUCCCAAAUACAUGCAGCCAUCAAUUUGGUAGUUAGCCUGGAUAACCAUAGGCACUGGGUCUAAUUUGUUUCUAAAUUUUUCAAUUCACGCCUGCCAUUAUAUGAAAGAGAACAACAACUUUUCAUGCCAUUGCAAUAACGAAACACUAUAAUGUAUCUACACAAAUAAUGUAUCUACAUUUUGACACAAAACAUUAUAAUGUAUCUACGCAAAUAAUUAAAUAAUAUACGACCAAACAUAGUUCCUUCAUAGAUGACAUCUUGGUACUAAGUUGUGUGCUGAACCAACUUUUCAUUCCAUUGCAAUAACGAAAAAGUUCAAAUUACUCCCUUCAAGUAUCGCCGAAGUCUAGAUAACCCCCAUAAAGGUUUUUUUGGUUUAUUUUAGACCUAGAUUUAUGCCAAUUGGUCCAAUUUAUCCUUAUAAGAUUUGUCUUGCUAAGGGGUAAAUCGGACCAAUUAACAUAGUUGUAGGUGUAAAAUGAACAAAAAUAGUUCAGGGGUUGUCGGGGAUCCACCAAAAAGACGGUCACCCUCGAUCGCAUUUGAAACCUAACUUGCCUCGCCCCUGUGCCAAAACCUCUAGCUUUGGUCGGCUUUCACGACAUGCCAGCUUCGGAUUGGAUCGGAACUUGUUAGCUUCACCGGAUCAUCCCGAAGCUAAUAGAAGAGCUCGACAAACUAACUGGCUAAAUAACCUCGCUGUGAAGCAUGUUUGGCUUUUGUGUACAGGAAGAAAGGUGAAAUGCCUUAGAGGAUAGAUGGUUGACGGACUAGCACAGGGAACUUCUCCUUUUGAAUGCAGGUCAAGCGCUGGGAUGUCGGAGUAAGUUCGAACACCUGCCUUGCUUGAGCACGAUGGAUCACUUCUUGGCCUCAAAGCCAAGAAGGAGACGGCAAGCGAAGCCGGAACGGCUUUGGGCACAACACCAGGACCCGAAGCUAAGCGAAGGGAGACGUGAAAGGCGUGAUACCUAAAUGACCAUCCCUAAGAGAAUAUCCUGCGAAUGUAGCAAUUGAGCAAGGGAAAAUGUGUAAUGAAAAGUUCAGGACGUGAUGAGUAAAAGCCCCGAAUGACCUUCAUGUACGACAUAUUCUUAGGAUGUAGUGGUUGAGUAGGGGUGUUUAAGGGAUGUAAAUGUAUCACUUAGGAGCACUAUAUAAAGGGGACACUACCCUGUUGUAACGGAUACGCAAUAUACAUUGAUAAGUCCACCUGAGGAGAAGUUGUAAGUUCUUCCAAACCAAAGUUAAGACGAUCCUAUCCUAUCCUUGUGUUGUGAUUCCACUUCCCGCGAGGUCGACUCCAACAUUUGGUGCCCACCAUGUUAUAAGCCACUAAGGAACUCACGAUGCCACCAGAAAAGAAAACGAAGACUGCCACGGAACCCGAAGUCACAGGAGAGGCAACUUAUCCCUUCUGAACCAAUACAACAAAUUGAAAUUAACAAGGGAGAAGGAUACAAGAGAAUUGAAGACAUCCUACGAGCGAAGGCACAUAAAUCAAAUGCCACACAACAUGCCCUCAACAAAGAUGACCCGUUAGUGGAAACAGAAGAUGAACAUCAAAGUGAUUCGGAAGAUGAACUAGCUUCGGUCCUUAUAAAACUGGAGCAAGUGAGGAGGCAAAAGGAAAGUUAUGCACAACAACUGCAAGCUCAAAGAGAGGCAGCAGAGAAGCUCACCGUGCUGAACGAAGCCAAAAGGCAGUUAGAGCAGCUACAGCAAGAGCUGAGAGAGCAGGAGAAUCUGCAAGGCACGCCGUAGAAACCAAUAUCACAGCCUACACAAACCUACAACACCAACGCCACUCGUAUGAUAUUCACAAACCAUGGUUUCGGUUCACAGGGCACACCACCGACUUCGAGCUGCCAUGUAACCAUAGACAAGACCUCGCCAUUGUCUGUCCAGCUACAAACAGCUCCGUGGGCUAUCCACUUACAUGGCAGUGGCACUGCCCAAGUUCAACGAUCAGUCUGACCCUCAUCAGAUUCUCAUGAGCUAUGAAACUGCAAUCGCCUCGGCCGGAGGGGACGACACAGUACUAGUAAAGUCAUUCAUUAUUGCAUCCGAAGGAGCAGCAUUGAACUGGUUGUUGGGGGUGAGCCUUAGGUAGACUAAGGCUAGAGACCCCCAUUGUGUGUAGAAGAGGCUCGAAAAGGGGGCUAAGGGCCUGUUUGUAAUGAUUAGGGACUCGGUUGUAAACUCCAAGGACCUUGUUGUAAUAAUCUAGGGACCUCGUUGUAAUAUUGAACCCCACUAGUGGAACAAAUAUAAACAACCUCCUCCCCCUCCUCCCUAUAAAAGGAAUCAAAGUGGUGGAAGGAAGGACUCUUGGCUAUUUGUUCACUUGAUUCACUAGACUUGCUCCAUCCUCUUUCCUUCUCUCUAACUUGUUUAGGGUUCCAAAUCCCAACACUGGUACUCCCUGCUCCCACCAUAAUCAGUGUACAGCUGGGCUGAUCUGAAGGUGAAGCUAACACAAAACUUCCGGGGUUUUCACCAAGCUCCAACUGAUGUAGGAGACCUCUACAGCUAUAAGCUAAAAGACAAGGAACCUCUGGCAAGUUAUGUUAAGAGAUUCGUUCAGCUCAAGGCACAGACAUCGCAAGUUGCAAAUAGUAUCGCUAUAACCUUGCAUAUUGGGACUCAACCCCAGCCCAACUGCUUCAAAGCUGUCAAGAAAACCACCAAAGACAAUGGAGGCCUUGUUCCCGGAGCUAGAAUAGUAUUGCAAAUUAGAUGAAGAUCAUAGAAGAAGGGUUGCACAAAGAAACCAAGAGAGACGGAUGGAGAAAGGAAGAAACUAGCAAGCUUCGACAUAUAAUAACCGCCAUCAGGCCAACCAAGUCAUGGAAAUUGAGGGUAACCAGGCACCUAACCAGAGCUAAAACUACAACCACAACCAAGCCCAAAACCAACACCACCAAAACCACACCAGCUUCGGCAACACCCACAGAGGGGGACAUAACGGAAGAGGAAGAGGGUGAAGCAAUGGCCCCCCAAAGCCAGACAAUCAAGCCAGGCAGCCAAGGCCAUUCUACUGCAUAUUCCAUGGAAAAAUCUCAACCAUGCAACAGUCUGGUGCCCCGACACUUUGGAAGCUGCAAAAAGAGAGGCAGAAAAGAAAGCAGCUGAAGAAGCAGCAAAAUCAGCUAAAACCAUACAUCAAACAACCUUUUAUCCACAACCCCCAUACUACCCGAACCCAACUGGCUUCGUGCCUUUUCAGCCAACAAUGACUUGGCAACCUUCAACCCAAUUCCAACCCCAAUUCCAGCCAGUCCCGCAACCUGCAACCUUCGCGCAACAACCUUGUCACGAAAUCCCACCACCACCACCAAACAUGUCAAAUGCAAUACCCAAAGUCGAACCAAACCCACCAAAUAGAAAUCCCAAUGCCUUACCCAUCUAUGGCACAAUCAUGCCAAUCUCUAGGGUAUCUUCGCAAACUAGGCAUCGCGAAGAUGACUCAAAGGCCCUACCAACCUACGAGAUGAUAAUGUUGAUCGCAGGAGGCUCCGCUCACGAAUUUGAAAACAAGAUGCAUAGGAGGGAUUACUUUAGGCGAGUGAACACAAUCAUACUUGAUGGCCCCCCGGCGAAGCCAGAAUGGGCGCAUUUGCCAAUCACUUUUACUGAGGAAGAUGUUAAACUAAAGACAACCUCACACAAUGAUGCCAUGGUAAUAAACGUUAUCAUCGCUGGCUGGAAAAUUGGAAAAGUCCUGGUAGACAACGGGAGCUCCGCAGACAUCAUCUUUGCCAAUACUUUCAGAGAAAUGAAGAUUGAUCAACAUUUACUUCAACUAGCAGAGUUCCCACUGCUUGGCUUUGGAGGAAGACCAGUAAAAGCCUUGGGAAAAUUUUCACUCAUGGUCUCCUUCGAAAAUCGAGAAAACUCAAGAAUGGAGAACAUCACGUUCGAUGUAGUUGAAAUGUACUACCCCUACCUUGCCGUUCUCGGGCGAGGCUCUAUCAACAAGUUUGACGCAGUCAUCAGACAACUCUUUCUCUGCAUGAAGAUACCAGCUUCGGGGGGAAUCAUCAUAGUUUAUGGUGACCAAAAAAUAGCAAGCAACAUAGAGAAAGGUGAGACAGGCCAAAAGAAUGUGCAUCACCUAGUACCAACAAAAGAAGUUGAAGAACAGGAAAAGAAAAAUCCCUAUGUCGAACCUAAGAGGGACAAAGAAAAUGUAAGCAUGAGUGUAGAUGGCGAAACUAAAAAGAUCUUGCUGGACGGUUACGUUGAAGGCAGAUACAUUACAAUUGGGGCUAACCUCGAGCCAGAGGAGGAAAAGCAAUUGAUCGAGUUCCUAAACAGGAACAAUGACAUCUUCGCUUGGUUCACUAGUGACCUUACAGGGGUGGAUAGGGAGAUAAUUGAGCAAAACCUUGACAUCAGACCAGGGGCGAGUCCCAACAAGGAUUAUCAGAACAGUGGGCAUACUUGAGAGAAGUAAUUUGGAAAUUUUCCUUAUAGUAACAAAAAAUGAAAUGUUUUGUCUUGAUUCCAGAUUUUAGUAACAAACAAAGAGAUGGGUUGGAAUUAGAUUACACCAAAAGCUAGGUUUUCAAACUAACAUGUAUCACCUAUGGUUUUUCUUGCAAUAUUAGUAGGCAAGAAUGAAUUGGGAAGUCAAAAUCUAGAUUUGUCAAGUCACGAAAGAUAGUGUGGGGGCCACUCUUAAAGGAAACCCCGAAUGUCAUUUGUAUUAUUUCCUAGAUCAGUAGAUGAUACUGGCAUUUCUCACAAGAAGUAUCACAUCCAUACUUCGUAUAGUUUUUAUCGACAUUUUACAUAAGUUUACAAAAGAGAAACAAAGUGCAUACCACUAAGGGUAGCCUCAGAGUAGCUAUACAACGGAGUUCUAUGUAGUAUUUCCAAGUCCACAAGCAACUUGGCUCCUAAGGUCGAUCUCCAAGAUCCUCAUCAUCUUCAACAACCAUUUCUUCCUCUAUAGAAAGAAAGCAGUAAAGCAAGUAGAGUACUCAGCAAAUCCCACUGUCAUAGAGUUAUUCAUGCUAUUUCUUCAUGGAUGGCUCUAGUUUCAUAUUUGCCAAAAAGCCAUUUUUAUGCGGGGUGAAAAGUUAUAGCUUUAAAAGGAAUAUAGGACAUUUAGCAAUAGUUUGUUGGUCCUGGAAGGGGCAAACUACAUCCCUUCCUGUCCCUAUAUUUUAUUUAGCAUCAGGAUCCGUCAGGGACUUCCUGAGCUAGCUUUGCCUUAUUUAGUAACAACUCCUCAGGUCAAGGCCUAAGACACAAGAUUUUCACAAAAACAAUGUUAUGACUAAUCAAUGGGAGCUUUGACCAAGUGAGCUCAAAUCUGUGAGCCUCGGCUAUCCAGAUACAUCCCGGGAAAACAGAUGCAUCAUAAAUGUGGUAUACAAUACCACUAGGCCACUCUGGAUCUCAACCUAUGACCUGUGUCGACCAGACCUAGGACAAAGUGAAGGUCAUGUUUCAGUCUACCCAUUGCCUACCGUGGCCCCUUGGGGUGGUUCACUAUGUUCAGCUAGUGGGGUGCGAAUCAAGGCCUCACAUAGAUAGGUACUCCCGAGGGUUGUACCUUUUCAGCACGUGUGGUUGUACGAUUCACCAGAUAGACUUGCCCAUGAACCGCUCCUUAUAUGACCAGAUUAAGCUUUUUGGAUAGGAUCCUCCAUCAAGGCUACCCUCUUACUCUCGUGUCUAGCCUUAUCUAGUUGCUAGACUUGUUAGUUAUUUUUAUCUAAUUUUCAAAGCACUCACACCAUUUGGUAUUUUGUAAACUUGUGAAUGACUCCAUAAGUAGUUCCUAAGCGUUUCUAUUGCAUCCUAGGUUUAUGGUAUCAAGGAGGGCUUGAAUUAUUUAGGAAUAACUAAGCAGCUUAGAGAAAAUAUUAUGCAAGAUUUUGAAUGGAAAUUCCAUGUUAUUAUUUGGCUCUUUUAUUUAUAAAACUUGGGAUUCAAGGGAUGGUAAUGCGUGGACUUGCCUUCUUCAAAGUCUUGUUCAUUGAAAACUUCCUCUUCGUAGUGCAGGUCGUCAAACUCGUUCCCGGUAUCGUUGAAUUCUACAUAAUCGUAGUUAUAUGAAAGGAAGGAUGGGCAAAUGGAUUUUAGCGUUAACUGAAUUUUACUUAUGGUAUAAGUCCGUUAAGGCAGCAAAGGCGCAGGCUGUAGCUGGUUUCAUCGUUCAACAUUAUGAUGAAUCUGUUGACAUGAUAGAGUUUGGCACCGUGGGUUUUGUUUUUUGAUGGAUCAUCGUGAUGGAUCAUCUUGUGACCUCCGCAGGCGGCGCAAGGUUGAGGUCGGGAAUAUUGGCAUCGAGCUUGGGGGCGGCGAGCAGCGCGCUUGCCCACGGAGCUCGCGGGUAGCAGCUGGUCGGUGGAGCUCUGGGAGGAAGACUGCGGCAUGCGCACCGGCGGAGGUCGGGGGAAGCAGCUCGUCGGUGGAGCCAACAAGCUGCAUGCGGUCAGCUUCGGAGCUUUUCGAGUUUGACGUUUUAAUGGAAGAAGCGCUUCUGUUUGCUUCCUUGAGUUAAAGUUUAGUCCUUAUCACAUCGAAUAUUCGGAUGCUAAUUAGAAGGACUAAACAUGAGCUAAUUAUAAAACUAAUUACAACGGAGGCUAAUUCAUGAGAUGAAUCUAUUAAGCCUAAUUAAUUCAUGAUUACCACAUAUUUACUGUAUAGCAUCACCUUGUCAAAUCAUGAACUAAUUAGACUUAAUAGAUUUAUCUCGCGAAUUAGACUCCAUCUGUGCAAUUGGUUUUGUAAUUUGUCUAUAUUUAAUACUCCUUAUUAGUAUCUAAAUAUUCGAUAUGACAGGAACUAAACUUUAGUCCGUGGAACCAAACGGGACAUAGAAGCUGCACUUUUAGGUUGGGAGGCUACACAGCUUAAAAAUAAGUAGAAGCUGCAAAUAAGCAGCUCCAAACCGGGUCAUAGUGACACAUGAUAGAUCCAAUUUGUAUUUGGAAAUAAGUUGCAUUAUAUGCAUAUUUUAAUCGUUACAUACACGUCCAGGUCCAAUUCUUUUAGAUAAAUGACAGUUACAAUUUUUAUAAAUUCUUUUAGAGUGGGAAUGGAGACGACGUACCUCUUGUCAGAGAGGAAAUUUGAUAUGCCUUUGAUGAAAUCAUUUUGCUCGGCUGCAGGUUCGGUGCCACUGCUAGCAGAAAGAAAAAAAUAAUAAAUUUGAAUUGGUCAAUAAUGCCACAUCUGUCACUUAUAAAUACUAAAUUAUAGGCAUUUUACGAAGUUCAAAUAUUAUCUAUAUGGAUUCUCAAAAAAUAAUGCAAAUAUGUGUGGACGCAUGCAUGUACGGGUUUUGGCACUAGCGUUCCAAUUUCCUAAGGCCUUGUUUAGUUCCCAAAUUAGGAGUGGUAAAAUUGGCAUUUUGUCAUAAAUGCGUAACUGUAGUAUUUCGUUUGUAUUUGUGAAUUAUUGUCCAAACAUUGACUAAUUAGGCUCAAAAGAUUCGUCUCGCAAAGUACAACAAAACUAUGCAAUUAGUUUUUGAUUUCGUCUACAUUUAGUAUUCCAUGCAUGUACCGUAAGUUUGAUGUGAUGGGUAAUCUUCUUUUUGCAUAGUGCUAAAGUUGGAAAUUUGGGGGUAACUAAACGUGGCCUAACAUACUAUGAUUUGUUCAAAAUAGUAGCAUCACACGCACAAUGGAGAGGCGGUACCUCUUCUCAGAGAGGAAUGAAGUAGAGUGAGAAUGGAGAGGCGGUACCUCUUGUCAGAGAGGGAAAUUGAUAUGUCGUUGAUGAUAUUUUGUUCGGUGCCACUGCCAGCAGACAUUGUUACUUGGCUGAGGAUGGUACCCAGAAUCUCCGUCAUGUUAGGACUUGGGUGCACGGACACGAAAGCCCGGCAUUGGAAUUCAUCUCCUAUUGUCUCAUACACCAGGUCCGCAAGAGUUGUUUUGCCCAUCCCUGCAGAUCCAAGAAUGCAUACCAUUUCGUUGUUCUGAAGAAAUUGCAUGACCGACUUCUUCCUUCGUUCCAUGCCCAUGAGCUCCGAUGCAUCCUUGUGUAGGAAGAGAGCUCGAGGGUCGGUGGUCAGCUUGCUACGGUUGCAGAUGAUGGCGUCGCCAACCUUCUGCAUCUUGCCGCACCGCUUCGAUACAUCGUUGACCCUUUCCAUGAAUUCCUUGAAAGGGCUGUCAUCCGUUGUCUCCCGCUGGAUGAAGCCACCGUCGCCAUGCUCCAAACUGAGAGUGAAGCCGUCGAUGCCGUCCUCCAUGUCGUAGGACAGCUCUCGGGCCUCCGCCAUCCAAUCCUUGCAUGCCACAUCAAGAUCCAACCUCCCCCAUAACUUCCCCAGGAGAUGGUGAACUGGCUCGAGCUCGGAUUUGAUGGACUGGAUGCCUCGCCGGGUUCCCUCCUGAAGCUUGUACUCAUCACCCAGCAAAGCAGCGAGCUUCAGCAGGACCGGCCCCAACGCCCCGGUCGCUGCGGUCACGGCAAGCCGCUCCUCCAUCUCUCUCGCACUCUCUAUGCCCAAGCGAAUGGCAGGAGCAGGAGCAGACUCUCUAUGCACAAGUUGGGCCCCAUCCAAAGUCCAAACAAUGAUAUUGCUUCCGUCUUCCGAUGAUUGACCAUCUCUCUUGCACUGUCCAAGGCAAUAAUGUAUCUUUUGGCAUGAUUCACGAAGUUCGUCUACCACGCUCCUCUGCACUGCCCAAUGAAAAAAUUAUUAAAUCCUUCCUUUCGUCUACCACGCUCCUCUGCACUGCACAAGGCAAUAAUGGCACAAAGAAUUAAUGGAGGACGACAGGGUGCCGGUGGUUCAUAGUGACGGCGCGGCCACCGAGUCAAGUCGUCGGCCGCAAACCACUUACGGCUGUUCCAAUGGGACAUUGGUGCUAAUUUCUAUAUCCAUUAAUUACCUUGACAACUAUGCUGCGAGGGCUCAGAGAUGACAUAGCAGGGGUGUUUGGAAGGAGGGGACUAAAUUUUAGUCCUCGUCACAUUGAAUAUUUGACACUAAUUAGGAGUAUUAAACCUAGACUAAUUACAAAACUAAUUACACAACUCCUAAGCUAAAUCGUGAGACGAAUCUAUUAAGCCUAAUUAGUCCAUAAUUUGACAAUGUGGUGCUACAGUAACCAUUCACUAAUGAUGGAUUAAUUAGGCUCAAUAGAUUCGUCUCAUUUAACCUAGAGGUUCUGCUAUUAGUUUUGUAAUUAGCUUAUAUUUAAUCCUUCUAAUUAGCAUCCGAAUAUCCGAUGUGACAUGGCUAAAGUUUAGCCUCUGUCUCCCAAACACCCCUGCACCGCCUUUACAAUGAAGCAAAACCGCUCGGUAUCUGCUUCCGAGUCGCACCCCCGGGAAAAACGGAUCGACCCCGCGUCGUCCCGAAGGUGGCACAUGUGCUAUGUAAUUGAAGGCGGUUGUUAAGGCACUCCGUCCACGGUUACCGGUUUUUUAAGAAUUUUUUAGCGUGUCACAUUCUACAAAGAAAAGCUCCGUAGUGGAAGCGAACGAGCCGUUUAAAAAUUUUCGGGUGCGCGGUCCAAGUGAGAUUACAAACGGGUUAAUAUGUAAGGGAGUCAACGGCGAGUAAUCAAACAGGUUAAUAUGUAGGCACAUGUGCUGAGAGAUGGCACAUGUUGCCGGCCUACACGUGAUCUGCACUCGCUGCGAGAUGGCACAUGUGCUGCAUCAAUACUCUUUGCCUCGAUCAGACCUCUUAGAGCACUCACAAUGCAGACUUCAUCGUGGAGUCUAUCCCUAUUAAUUGCACUGCCAUGUAAGCAUUUGGAUGAUGUGGCAAGUAAUUUAACGAGGAGAGAGGAGCAAAAACGGAGAAACGACGUCUUAUUUAGACACCGAGUCUUCGAUUCGUUCGAGGCUGGAAGACUCCACCAGUCUCCGCAUUGGGGGAGGGGAAGGUCGAGUCUACGGAUCCAGUACGCCAUGCCGUCGCCGCCGCCGAAAUUCCUCCCGCUUCUCCCGCGCGCCAUCUCCCGCGUGCGAGCCGGAGCCCGCCGAUUCCUGCGUGCAAGGUCUCCCGUGCGCGCGCUCUCCAGCUCGUCCCCCGCGCUCUCCAGCUCGUCGCCGCUGUACAAAAGGAACCCAGUUCCAAAUCAAGGUACGCCCAAUCCAUCCCCAAAUCUUCUCCCCAACUGAUCUCCUCCCCAACAAGCUUUAACCCAAAUCCAUACACAAAUCUCGAAUUAGGGAUGAAUCGAUUGACGAAGCCUAGUUCCCGGCGGGGCAGUGGUGGCCGUGGAACCCGACCUCCGGCCAUCCGUGCUCCUGGGACCUGUGUUCCGGCCGCAGGUGCUUCUGCAACUCGGAGCCUUCCCGCUGGCAGCGCUGCAACAGCAGGUGUUGCUGCUCCCGUCACCAGUUCUCCAAUCAGUGCUUCCCCCUUUGGUGGAUGGUGGCCAACAUCUUCUCCUAGUGAAGUGAAGGGUAUGUCAACAGAAAUACGUUUCUAUGGAUCACAGAUUGUCUAUGCACAUUGUAGUUACAGAUUUUAUAUAUAGUCACAGCUUUCUGCGUUAACUAGAUGAAUUGCGUGGAUGGCAUGCCGUGGUGUUAUAGAUUUUGGUCACAGCUUCUUUGUAGUUAUAGAUUAUAGAUUGUAGUUAUAGAUUUUAGAUUUUAGUUACAGAUGUGAAAAAUGUAUAUAUGCAUAAAUGACAUGCCGUGGUGUUGCUAGGCAUGCCAAUUUCAUAGCAAUUAUUUUUCCUAUAUGUUGUUCUCAAUUUGCCAUGUCGGUGUGUUGCUCUUGAAGUGUUUUAUGGCAUGCAUUCUGUGGAUUUUAGUAAUUUAGUAUAUAUAUAUAUAUAUUUCAUGGAUAAUAGUUUGAAUGCCUUUUGCCAAUACUGUUCCUCUCAUUUUGAAGAGAUUAGGUGACUGCUAAUAUCACCUCUUCCUUUUUGGUUACGAUUGAGCCACUAUAUAUUGUUGCUUUCAGUUUUCUCUGAAGUUACGAUAAUAACAGACAACCUUACCACACAACAAACAAUAUGGUUGCAGGUUAUACCCACAAGGAGGGUUCUCAAAUCUUCUGCAUUCCAACCCAUUUCUUAACCAUCCUAAUGGAACCAAUCUUCCAGAGAAUUUCCACUUUGUUGGUGCUGCAAUGAAUCGGUCUUCAGUGUCUCCAAUUGACCUGGGUGCUACAAGAACUCAUUCUCCAGCAGAAGAAGAAGAUGGUCUAUCUCAUGAUGCAGUGAAAGAUGUAGGUGCAGAAGAAGAUGAAUCAAUUAAUGUUGAUGACGAUGCUAGAACCGACAAGCGUUUGAACUGGACCGUUGAAGAAGAUAAACAAUUGGCCAGUGCCUGGUUGCGUAAUUCAAAGGACCCAGUCGAUGGAAAUGGCAAGAAGGUAGAGCGGUAUUGGGAAGAUGUGACUACAGAAUACAACAAGAACACAGAAACUAGCCGUAAGAGGAACAGAAACCAACUGAAAAUACGUUGGGAUCGCUCUAGGAAACCAUUAACUGAUUUUCAUGGUGUUUGGGUAAAUGCCGAUAGAGUAUGGCAAAGUGGGAUGAGUGAUGACCAGUUGACUGACAAAGCAUUAGAGAUGUGGGCUGGCCAGAAUAGUGGUAAGGCAUUCCAUCUGCUGCAUAUGUGGAAGGUAGUACGUGGUCAGCAGAAAUGGUCAGCAUAUAUUGCUAGGUUAAAGAAGGAAAAGGAAAAGAGUACAAAGGCUAACAGUAACCUAUCUGCAGUGGUGAAUUUGGACUUAGAUGGAGAAAAGCGACCAAUGGGACAGAAGAAAGCCAAAAAAGAAUUGAAAGGCAACAAAAAGGGAAAUGACGCCUUGUCUAAUUUGAACAAUAAAUUUGACAAGUUCAUUGAAGCAAGCAACAAAAACAGGGCAGAGAGAGAGAAGAUGAUAGAAAUUCAGCAAAGUUUGGCUGAUAAGAAGAUUGAAGCAGCUAAGAUUAGUCAUGAAGCAGCUCAUGAACAAACUAAGUGCAAAAUGCUGGAAACUUACACACAGCUACUGCUUACACCUCAUGAUCAGCUUAAUGCAGAUGCUUUGGCUGAGAGAAAUUUGGCACUAGAGAGCAUGAGACUUGCUUUAUUUCCUAAUGUAUGCCACUGUCAACCCUUCUUUAAUUGCUUAUUCAAUUGCAAUGAACUGGUAACUGAUGGACUUGUACCUUUUCUAGAAUUGAUCAUGCAAUAGCUACAAUGUGAAAACAAAUGUGACCAUGGAAGUGAUUUAUGUAAGGUAACUGAAAUCCUUUGGUCAGUGCUAUAUUAAUUCCUGUGAUUAGUUUUUUGCAUGCAAGUGUGAACUCCUUCCACUUGUGAAAUGAGACCACUAAUUUUUGUGAAACUGAAACAGCCACGGCAAGUGUGAACUCCUUCCACUUGUUUUGUGCAUGCAAGUGUGAAUAGAUACAGCCACGGCAAUUGUGACUAUAUAUAGCACACAACCACGGCACUAUUCUGAGUCCCCUUUCUGCUACUGCUCCCCUUUCUGCUAGUGCUUCCCUUUCUAAUCUGCUUUCCACUAUUCUCUGGUAUCCUUUGCUACCAUGGAUGGAGAUGGCAACAUGGACCCUGCUGAUCUGUACUCCAUGGAUGACUAUCUUCAAGAGCAAGAAAUUCUAGAUGAUUUAGGCGACCAUCUUGUAGCUGAAAUGCAGUCCAUUGUUGAUGACAUACAAGGUGGAGGAUCUCGGAGUGGUCCUAGGCGAUAUGUGGAGAGGCCUCGUGAACAAGCCAGCCAGCAACUAAUGGAUGACUACUUCUCUCUUAAUCCAGUCUACAAUGAGACACAGUUUCGAAGAAGAUUUAGGAUGAGGAGACCCCUCUUUCUGAAGAUUGUUGAGGCCUUGAGUGGAUGGGAUGAGUAUUUCACCUUGAGACCGGAUGCUCUGAAUCGUCCUGGGUUCUCACCAAUUCAUAAGUGUACGGUAGCUAUCCGUCAAUUAGCAUAUGGCGGCUCAGCAGACCAGCUUGAUGAGUAUCUGAAGAUGGGAGAAAGUACUGGUGUGGAGUGCUUGAAAAAGUUUGUUAAGGGAAUCAUUGAAGUAUAUGGUGAAGAGUACUUGAGACGCCCCACAGUACAAGAUGUUGAACGACUGUUGGAGAUCGGUGAGCGUCGUGGUUUUCCUGGCAUGUUAGGGAGCAUUGACUGUAUGCAUUGGCAUUGGGAAAAAUGUCCCAAUGCAUGGAAGGGACAAUAUACUCGUGGUGAUCAUGGUGUACCAACCAUCAUUCUAGAGGCUGUUGCUUCGCAUGACCGAUGGAUAUGGCAUGCUUUCUUUGGAGUGGCGGGAUCCAACAAUGACAUCAAUGUGCUGAGUCAUUCUGAUUUGUUCGUCAAGGAAUUAAGAGGAGAAGCUCCACAGGUGCAGUACUUUGUGAAUGGAAGGCAAUAUACCAAAGGUUAUUAUCUUGCAGAUGGAAUAUACCCAGACUGGGCUGUUUUUGUCAAAUCCAUACGCGCACCACAAUCAGCUGAGCACAAGCUGUAUUCAGAACAUCAAGAGGGGGAAAGAAAGGAUGUUGAAUGUGCAUUUGGCAUUUUACAAUCUCGUUUUUGCAUUUUGCGUCGGCCGGCACGUCUAUAUGAUCAAGGGGAUCUUGAGAAUAUCAUGUUAGCUUGUAUAAUACUUCACAACAUGAUAAUCGAGGACGAGAAGGAUAUAGAGGAUGAUUCGUUUGACCUGAACGAGGAAGGAACCACGUCUACUGUUCAGGCGUCUACAAUCGCUCAUGGAUAUGAUCCGGUGAUGGAGGAGGUAAUACAGAGAAGUGCCGAGAUUCGUGAUCGUGAAGCUCACAGGCAACUACAAUCUGAUUUGAUUGAUCACAUUUGGCAAAAGUUUGGGAAUCGAACUAAUUAGGUAGAGUUAUGCAUUUAAAUAUAUAUAUAUACACACAUUAGCCUUCAUAUUCAAAAAUCAUUGAUAUUUGUUUUUUUACUGAACCAUUGAGAUUUUGUUAAAUCAACCACCUGUACAAUUUUGUUAAUUUACUAACCCAUUCUUAUUUUUUAACAGUUCUGCUUGGAGUGGCUGGAGGAUGAUGGACAUGGAGUUCUGUAUGCAGGAUGAUGAUGGAUGGCUUAAUAUUAUCUAAAUAUUAGUAUUAUCUAUUCAGUUUGCAAUUCAUAUCUUAGUUUCCAUUGCUAUAUAUUGUAAUGGAUGACUCAUUGCUACUAUCUAAACUUUCAUCGAAGUUCUGUGGAGUUUGUUUGCCAUUCAGUGUAUACUGUAGGCAUUGUGUUUGCCAGUAUGGGUUGUGCUUCUGGUGAUAUAUAUCCUAUAUGCGUUUGCUGAUAUAUCUUGUAUGUGUUAAAGUAUGUGUUGUGCUUCUGGUGAUAUAUAUACUGUAUGCGUCAGUUCAAUUGCCGUUUGAUCACAACACCGUAUUUCUGGAUGCCUCUGUUCAGUUGCCGAUUAAUCAUGUCGUAUAUGGUUGUUGCAAGCUGUUGAGGUGCAGGGUGGAUCACAUGGUAAGAUGCCACAACUGAUCAGCUUUCUUUGUGUUGCAUAAUAAAAAUUUUUAUCCAUAGAAACUAUUGUUACAAACUUUGCAUUAUGGAGCAUAGUUUCUUGUGAUAGAGUCUUCGACGUAUAGACUCUAUGGAUAGAGUCUGGACUGUGAGUGCCCUUAUGUGCCUUAAUUUUCGGCUCUGUGUGUUCUUUAUCGAUGGAAAGAAACUCAUCUGAUAACGGUUUUUGUAUUUUCAUUGAUAUAUUAAUUAAACAUACUGAGACGAUGAAGGCAUCAGAUCAAUUCAUAUUUCGGACUUGUAAUUUUGAGAGACAUAAAUAUUUAAAAAAUUAAGAAAAAAAUAACAUGGCAACUAAUAAUGAUAAUAUCUUAUCUACGCCUUCUCUGAUUUAUCAAAUAUUCUCAAGUGGUAUUCAUACAGAUAAUGGUACUAGCUUUACCCAUUUAUAAAAAUUUUGGAAUCGUAUUUUGAUAUAUAUUUUUAUAAUCGCAAAUGAUAGUAAUUUAGAAGCAGAUAUGGGAGUUACUAUAUGUUAUUUUUAAUAGGUGUUACUUUUUACAAUGGCAUAUAGGGUAAUUUAGAGAUUUAGGUGUUAAUUUACAUUAUUUUUCAAAUUAUAGUGUGGAUAAUUCUUUUUAAAAAAUAUUAUAAUAUAUGAUAACUAUGAUUGGUUUACUAGAUUGAUGACUAGAUAUUUUGCGAACGGCUCGUAUUUUUUUGAUUUAUUUCAGAAUUUUACUGGUACUAUUCUUUAUGUGGUAGACAACGUGCCCGUUAGCAGCGAGGUACCAGUGGUGAUUUCGUCAAUCUCGAAUAUUUUACAGCUUAGUUUUUGGGAGGUGCUCAUAGAAGGGUAGGGUUGUUUGCUUGUGUUUGUAGGUGUGAGUGCGCGUGCGUGCAUGUAAGCGUCUACGUUCGUACUAUAUGAUUCAUAAAUAAAGAUGACCGGAUAUUUUUAUUUUUUAACCUCCGUAGGGGAAGCUGGGUCUUGUUUAGAUCCAUAGUGGCUAAGGUGGUGUUUGGAUCCAAAGUUCACCGACUAAAUUUUAGCUUCUAAAAUUUAGCCCCUAAAAUUUAGUUUUGCUGGGGUGUUUGGAUCUAUGGGCUAAAUUUUAGUCAUCAUCAAAAAAUGACUGAUUUGCCCUCCCUCCUCACUCCUACUACCACCACCAGAGCAGCAGCGAGAUCCAAAAUCCGGCGCUCCAGCUCCUCCCGCCUCUCGUCCGCGCGAGCUCGGGCGGCGCCGGAGGCGGCGGGGCUGGAGGAGGCGGGGAGCUCGGGCGGAGGCGGCGCGGCCGGUCGGAGGCGGCGGGCGUGUGGGAGGCGGAGGAGAGAGGAAGUGCGGGAGGGGCAAGGCACGGAGGCCGAGGAGAGAGGAAAGGGGGCAGGGGUGGAAUUUGUGGUCCAGGUUCACUUUUAGCUCCUUUUAGGGCCUCUUUGGGGGCUAAAAAUUAGCUCCAAAUUUUUAGCUAUUGUACACUUUUAGCCCACCUGUUUGGAUCCCAAGAGCUAAUUUUUGGCUAAAAGUGCAGAGCUAAAAAUUAGCCCUUGGAUCCAAACAGGCUCUAAAUUUAGCCAACUAAAUUAAGUUGGUGGAUCCAAGACGGAACCUAAAACUUUAUGCUGCUAGAGGAAGAAAGCAGCUAGUGUGGCUUGGCAGACGAUUAUUAUGGAGCCGGCCAAAAAAGAACCGCACCAUGCAACACGUGAUUGGGUACGGGGGAAGACCUUGACCGCGCAGCCUACGGGAAGUCGUCGGCCCCCACUCACUUAGAGCACUGUGCUGCGCACUCGCUGAGAGAUGGCAUAGCAUGUCGUCCCGAAGGAAAUUCCGAGUCGCACCCCGGGAAAAACGGAUCGCGCCCACGUCGUCCCGAAGGUGGCACAUGUGCUGCAUCAAUGCUGUGUAAUUGAAGGCGCGCGGUUGUUAAGACACUCCGUCCACGGUUACCAGUGUUUUUUAGCGUGUCACACUCCACGAAGAAAAGCUCCGUAGUGGAAGCGAACCGGCCGUCCUGCGCCACGAACCGAUACGUUCCCCCCUAGAGGCUUUGCAUUGCAGGUCCGCCCUCCGCCGCCCGGCCCAAUUGGAUUUCCAGCUAUGGGGCUUUCGUUGCGCAGGUUCCUCACUUCACUUGUUUGAUUCUUUUGCCCGAUAGGUUCUUGUUUCCUUGACAUGGUAGUUGAUGACCCGUAUGUUUUCUUUCCCGCACAGAUUUACCCCUGCUGGGUAGCAGUGGCACAUUUUUCUUGUAAUGGCAUGAUGAUAAGAUGUUGAUCUAAACCUUUUUAUACACGGAGGAAAACAUCCUGAUUCGAAGGAACCAUUUAACCACACCUUCGUCCUGCGCCGCUUGCCGUCCGCCCUGCGUCGCCCCACCCGGUUUCCAGCUACGGGGGCUUUCGUCAAGCAGGUGAUUCUUUAGCUCCAUCUCUGGUUCCUCCACUUCUUUGAUUCUUUGGGGCGAUAGCUUCUUGUUUCCUUGCCAUGGUGAUGGUAGUAUAUAUAGUAUAUGCUGAUGCCUGGUGAACAAGAACAACCUUUAAUAUAUGCUGAAAAGACAGCAUCCAGCUAGAUUGAUUUCAGUAUUGAUAAGCCGGCCAUCUUGUUUUUCGAGAAAUAAUUUGGGAUGCCAUCUAAUUCGAAUCAGCUAGUAGUUUUAUCCCCAGUAGCAAGGAUCUGGGGUUACUAUAUUUGGUUGAUUUUGCGUUCAGUUAACAUGAGAAUUUGAUGUUCAAACAUUUGAUGACCAUUAUGGUUUUCUUAUUUCAACCAGUAGUAGAUGUGAAGUUUCAACCGAGAGGGAAGUCUUUGCUUCAGAACCUGCUGUGAACACUGUAUAUAGAACAAAUUAACAAGAUGGAGUUGGUUGUGGGCGCUUCAGAAGCCACCAUGAAGUCUCUGCUUGGCAAGCUGGGUGGCCUUCUCGCCCAGGAGUAUGCUCUGGUCAGGGGCGUCCGUGGUGACGUCCAGUACAUUUACAAUGAGCUGGCCACCAUGCAGGCCUUCCUCCGCGACCUUAGCUCUGCCCCGGAGGAGCAGGGCCAUCGAAUGAAGGACUGGAUGAAGCAGAUCCGUGACAUGGCCUACGACUGCGAGGACUGCAUAGAUGACUAUGCCCACCGCCUCCCUAAUGACUCCAUCAGUGAUGUCAAAUGUGCCUUCAUAGUCAGAACCAUAUAUGAAGUCUGGACAUGGUGGCCUCGCCGUGAAAUUGCUUCCAACAUUGCUGACCUCAAGAUCCGGGCACAACAGAUUGCCGAACGACGUAACAGAUAUGGAGUUGACAACCCAUCAAGCAACUGCAAUGGCAACAGUUCCGGACCCCGUGCCGCUACGUAUGACAUUGCGGAGCAUCAGGUCGCCAGCCGUCAGCUCAUCGGUAUGAAGGAGCCUGUGGGUGUGAUGGCUGACAUGAACAAGCUUGAGGACUGGAUUGCUAGAUCUGAUAAGGAGCAUGGUGUUCUGUCCAUAAUCGGAUUCGGCGGUGUGGGGAAGACCACCAUUGCCACAGCAUUGUUCCGGAAAGUAAGUAAUAAAUUUGACUGCCGUGCUUGGGUUAAUGUGUCCCAGAACUACGACAAAGAGGCAGUCCUAAGGAGUAUUCUGAAACAAGUCAUGCCACAAGACAAAGAUCAGAUUUCUCCGAAAAAACAAGACGGAGAUCAGGAGGCACUGCAAACCACAUGGGGGGAAAGCUUGGAGAAGAAGGACCUAGCAGCACAGGUUAUGAACACAUUAAAGCGAGCUGUGGGGCACAAACAGCAAGGCAAUGAUGCGAGCUCUGAUGAAAAGCAGAUGAAGAUUGAAACAAUGUACGGUGAUGAACUCGUCAACAAAGUGAAAGGACACCUGGAGAAAAAGAGGUACAUUUUAAAAGAUUAUUUCUUGUUUAUUGAUUACUAGAUCUGUUCACCGGUUUAGUCAACGUCAGCUAGCUAGAGGGAAUUAAUACAUGAUUUAUGAAAUCAUUGAAAGAUCAACAAUAAACAUCGAUCAGUUAACUAAUGGCCAGACGCUUUGCUAUCUUUUUAGAAUUUAUAGUAUUUCUGAUAAGGCUAAUCUCAAAGGGAGUGUCAUGGAAGUUUCAUGGGCAUAAAAUCCCAUGCCACAUCAACAAAACUGCUGACUUGUCAGGAUAAUUAUGAGGAGAGAGGAUAGGGGAGUUUCAUCCCAUGAAACCCACCUAGCAUUGUUACAAGUCCCGUGAAACCCAAUGAAACUUGCAUUGAGCAUGUUAAUCUAUGAAACUGUAUAAUGAGAAUGACAAUUUCAUUUUGUUGGAAACUAACAUGGCACUCUUGGUAACAGUGUGAUGAAACCAUGUAUUGUGACUGGCCUAACACAAACAGCGACCUUAAAGAAAAUUGUCAUCCAAUGGUAAUAACUUGGGAGGGCCUGUUGAGAAAUCGACAUCCCAAACCUUGACACCAACUCCCUAGAAGUGGCACCAAAGUGGUGUGACACCACUUCUUAUGUGGACCUUACACCCACACUACUCUGAGGAAACCUUCACACCGACACCAACACGGGAGACCAACUCUCUACAAGGGAACCCGAAUCUUUUAUUUACCUACUCAUAACUUGAUACAACACUUACUUUUACACUCUUCAUGUGGCUACCAUACCAUGACACCACUACACUACAUAGCAACCUUGCCAUCUCUUCACAUAUGACUCACAUGCCACUCUAUGCCAUGGUAUUGUUGGGAUACGAGGUAGGCUACGCUAGCGCAAAACAAAAUUUUUCUACCGCGUAAACUAGGAAAACUGUCGUAUAUGGAUCACGGGAUUACCACUCGACGCACUGGUGCGGAAGAUGUAGAAUCACGUUGGGGUAGCGAAGUCAAUUAGCGUAGUCGAACACGUAGUCGAUCACAUCGACGUCGAGCAGCUCCUCAGCAGCUCGUCCACGUACAGUGAGGUCCUCCUCGUGCCACGGAUGGUCAUCGGCGGCUCGUCGUGGCUCGUCAGCGGCUCGUCCAAGUGUUGCAAGUGCAACACCUGUAAGGUAUCCACACAUGCAGGGAGAAAGCGUCGCAAGCCGGACUGCUAGGUCCGCGAGUUGCAACGAGAUGAGGGCGUGGGAGGUACGGCAGCUGUGGUUCGGCCAAAAGGGAUGAACCCUAGGGCGCCCCCCUACCCCUCUAUAUAUAGGGGUCCCUGACAGGCCUCUAAGUCCAAGCCCCAUUAGUACUCCUAAACCUAGUCCAAUUCAGAUCAUAUUCGAAUUGGGCUUCCAGCCCUUUUAAGUGUGUGACCCUAUAGGUUCAUAUGCGUAUGGACAUGGCCCGAGUACUCUUACUCGGCCAAUAGUUAGUAGCGGCCUCUAGCAAGACGUGCUAACUCCUAUACGCACACGAAGAUCAUAUCAGACAAACCAUCACAACAUCACGCACAUGUUAUUCCCUUUGCCUCAUGAUAUUUGGUCUAGUUCCAAGCGGACCACUCUUUCUCAAUGCUGUGAUUUGGAAUCCCCUUCUAGGUUAACUCUUAACCUCAUGUAGCAUGGCCAUGCAUUUCCGAAUUCUAUCACUUGAGGGGCCCAGAGAUAUCUCUCUCAAAUAGAGAGGGGCAAAUUCCAUCUUGACUGACCAUGCCUCACAGCAUGCUUCUUGACAAACCCGAAAGUUACUUUUGUGACUACCCAGUUACGGUGUAGCGUUUGAUAGCCCCUAAGUAAGUCGAUCCACAUCUUGAGUACAUGCGACAAUCUAAGGACAAAGCGUACACGUUGUGUAAAGAGGGAACUAUGUAACUCGUGUUGGGUCAGUCCUAGCACAUGUCUCUACACGUGCCCACAUCAUUAGUUUGACAUGUCCAUGUUCAUGACUUGUGAAACAUAGUCAUCAACUAAUACAUGUAGUAGUCUAAUAUUCAUGUGUGUCCUCACAUGAACUCCGACUAGGGACAACUUUAGAAUAACCAUACAAUUUCACAUACAAUUCACAUAAUUACAAAUCAAUUCAACUAGCUUUUAAUGGAUAUUCAGGGAACAAAAUAUAAAUCAUGGAUACAAAUGAAAUAUCAUCAUUUCUAUAAUUGCCUCUAGGGCAUACCUCUAACAGAUAUGGCUAGGAUGGAGGGGACCACCUCUAUUUAUAGGUGCUCAUGGUCCUUGUGGUGUUGCCAUGUGGCAACUUCCACACUCUUCUUUACAAAUAUCUAACUCUAGAACUUUCUCUCAUCCUUAUCUAGUUUCUUAUAUUUCUACCAUACUAAAAUAUCUAGUUCUAGAGUAUUCUACACUUCACCUUGAAGCAUGACAACUAUGGCUCAUGCAUUCUCUCCAAGUUUCUAGAACCUUCUUACCUUGCCAUGAUCUUAUCCUUAUACAUGGCAAAGUUAGUCUCUUAAGAUCUCAAUCUUCUAGAAUGUUCCAAGUAUGCAUUGCAUAUUUCAACAGGGCCCACUAAACUAAUGGCCAGAUGCUUUGCUAUCAUGUUAGAACUUAUAGUAUUUCUCUCCUUUCCUACUGCAUCUCGAGGAUUAAUGUGGACAAAAAAAUCUAAGAGCCUCCAAUGGGUAAUACCCAAAUAACCUGGUAUACCAUGCAAGCUUGAAACAGCUGUGGGAAGACUGGCCUAUGGUGGUGGCACUAAGGUGGUGGCAGCUUGGCAUAGGAGCUAGUGACAAGGAGUGGUGGACUACAGAGGUAGGGCAAGAGAGAAAGAGACAACUAUAAACUUCUUCUUAGUGAUUUCUGUACAAUCUAUGAAAUAAGCAAUAAAACUAAGCAGCUACAUAGACAGUCGUGAACAAGAUAAAUGAAAUGUUCUUCCCAAGGAUCAAGGUUCACUUACGUACACUCUCACUACACAAAUGGAUAUGCUCUAAGUGUUGUGCAGUAGCUACGUACUAGCUAGCUCUGCCUUUUCCCACUCUCCUACUAUCAGUGGCAUGAGGAACGACAAUGAUUAAGCUUUUCACCGUGGCUACCAUUAAGACCGCUUAAGUUCAUAUGACAAUGCAAACAUGUGAAAUAAGAACACACUGAUAUAGAACUUAAUAGAAUCAAUGAUCAUAAUCACAAGUGUAUGUAGCAGUAAAAUAUAGAGAUCCCCCUUUCAUCCCAGGGUAGUUUUGCAAAAUUGCAAACCCUCUUUCCAUAGACAACCAAGAUAUGUGCUAUUAGAAUCUAUGUCGAUCAGGACUUCAUGUGGACGAAUUGUUUUGGGAACACAAGAUAUAUGACAAGGGAAGCAAAGGGGCAUGUAGCCUAGUGGUUGCAGAGGCCUUAAAAAAAGUCACUCGCUGGUUCCCUUCAUCGACAUGGGCGAACUAACCUGUGGUGGGCGGGUCCUCGUGUAAGGGGCUGGUCGUGUGGGUUGGGCCUCAAAGCAUGUGUCAAGGCUUGAACCACAGGGGGUGGCAUCCCCAUGUAUGAGGGGGCCAACUUUCGUCACUUUUCUCGGCCGGGCUCCGGUUAAGCUCUUCUUAAUGUAAUACAGUCCGGUUAUAUAAUGUCAAGGGCUUUCAUCUUUGGGUUUGGGUACUUGAAUUGGGCUUUGGGUUUGCCAACCAACAGGGACUUGGGACAAUUGGCCUGACCCCUAUAUGGGUCUUCUUGUGCUCAUCUUCCUCAUGUAGGCUCCUAGAAAUGUUCCAAGUGCAGGCCCAAAUCAAGAUUUGUACAAAAACUCCCAAUAUAUGUUGUAUUUUAGGCGCCAAGUGGCCUGAUAGUAUAUGGAUUAGUCCAAAAAUACUGCUAAAUGAGUACUAAAAGUUUCCAUUAUCAAAAGUUCCCCUUAUUAAUGAGGGGCAACAACACUUCCCCCAUCAGUUUUCUGAUUUUUGUUCUCCCUUUUUUCUUUCAAAGGCAAACUCUAUUGUGGCCAAUGUGCAUGAUCUCUUCAGGACCAAUAUAGUUCACAUUGCUCCUCAAGCUUCUCUAUCUUAUAUUUCAGGAUCUCAGCAUGACCUUUGUUAUUAUGUGCAUUCAACUUCCAUUUUCCAAAUUCCUAUAGGGGUUGCUUUGUGCAUUUUAUUCUCUUCAUGAGGUCUCCCAAAAACAAAAUCUACUUCAAUCCCAAAUGUCAGUUGCCACCUCUUGAUAUGGCAUCACCCAUGUUCCCUAACCUAGCCUCCAUCAUCAACUUCCAUGCAUUAUCCACAAUUUUUCCACAGUUCCGUGUACCCAGCCAACCUCAAAGCGGAAGGACAACCUCCCUUAAAAUUAUCUUGAUCAUCUCCUCUUCCACGUCUAUAAUCUGGAUAAUUGAUUAAUUUUUCUAUGAUCUGAGUGCCUCGAGACACCGUUGACCACUCGGAAAUCGGGACCUCCAUGUAGAAUGAACAAUGGCUUGA